rnacentral:lncRNA from 1 species
GAUGACCCUAUUUUAGUAGUGUUUUUAGGGUCAUUUCUUUGUGUGUUUUGAGUCUUUUUGUUGAGUCUCAUGUAGUGUUUCAUGCAUUUUUAUAUUUUCUUUAGUCUUUAUUUGGCUUUGGUAAUUUAGUAGUUUUAUAGGGAGUUUUCUUGCAUUUUGAGUAAAGUUUAGGACUUGCAUGGUUUUAUUGUGUUAAUUGAAGGAUCUCAUGUGCUAAUAAGCUCUUUGAGCUUCUAGAAUUUUCCUUGGCUUGUUGGUUAAGUUUCAGAUCAGGAACUGAAGAAGGAAGAAGGCCAAUAAGCAUGGAAUUGAUGGAAAACUUAAAAAGGAUUGAAAAGAGGAGUUUCAGAAGCCAAAAAGCCCUUUUCAAGCGAGCUCAAGCGCCUAGGCGCUGGGGGAUGGGCGCCUAGGCGCCAAUUGGUCCAGAGAGCAUGUUUUUUAAGUGCAAUUGGCGCUCAGGCGCUCUGAAUUGGCGCCUGAGCGCCCAGACUCGACCUGUUAGCCUUUAAAUAGGCUUUUUGCCAUUUCUUUUGUAACUUUUGUCAUUUCUAUACAUUCCUAAAUAAGUUACAAGUAGGGUUAGGCUCUGGAGCUUGAGGAGAAGCAUUCUCCAAGUCCAUGUUCCAGGUUUUAUCCUUCUUUUCUUGUAUGGAUUCUAUAGCCAUGCUUGGCUAAAACCCCCUUUUGCUUUGGGUUCUUUGUAAGACUUUGAAUGUUUUAGCUAUCAAUCCUUUUCUAUUCAUGAUGUUCUGAGUAAACCCUUGAAUCUCACUUCUAUGCUUUAUCUUUCAAGCUUGUAUGCAUGCUAGCUUCUUACUUUUCUAUAAUCAUAACGAUAGUUUGUUAUAGGAUUGGGACUUGUUGUGAGAUUACCUCUUCUAUACUUGCUGCUAGGAAUAGAGGAAGGGUUGGGGUUUGUUGGCCUGAAUUGCAUGCUUAGUGCUUCUAACAAAUGUUUAGGUUGUCAAGGAAUUGAACCUAUCUUUUGAUUAGAAAGGGUUUUCUUUACGAGGCAUCGAUAGAUAACUAUCUAGGCUAGAACAUCAAGGAGAGACUCAGGAUUAAUUGAAUAGGGAGGUUUGCUAAAACUGAAUUAGUCGAACAAGAACCCAAGGCAAUCUCAUCUCUGUUUUUCAAUCGCUUUAUUACUUGAUUACUUGUCUUUUUGCAAACUCAAGAAACAACCAAUUAUUAAAACUGAAUUUUACUUGCUUUUCAACCUUGAACUUGAAUCUUAAACUGAAUUGCCACACCAAUUCCCUGUGGUUCGAUAAUUUAAAACCCGGAGGUAUUCGUACACUUGCGAAUUGACCAACAUAAAGCAGAAGUAAAAUUAACGGUUAGAAAUUAAAGACAUGAUUAUGAACAGUUAAUACACAAAAACACACGAUGGAGAAUAAGCACAUCUACACUCAUUACAACAGAUUGUCCGGUCGGGCACAAGGAACGAUGCAUCAGAAUAAACUGACACACGUUUGCUGUCUUGUCUCAGAGUAAGCACCAAUGGGUACUCAGCAUCUGACAAAGUUACCUUCUGAACUAGACAUCUUCUGAUAAAGAAGCAUCAUAGUCAGAGGUUCUGUUCCAUCUUCAUACUGAACAAAAGUCCAUAUUCAGAUUUUUCAGUAUAAAAUUAAAUCUAUCCUCUGCUAAGGGCUUUGUAAAGAUAUCUGCCCAUUGAUGAUCAGUAUCAACAAACUUCAGAAGAAGUACGCCCUUCUGAACAUAAUCUCUAAUAAAGUGAUACUUUACCUCAAUGUGUCACUACAACAAAAACAGCCUUUAGCGACAAUCUUAUAGCAGCAAUACCUCUCUUGUCGGUAAUUCAAUAAGAAAAUUCAAAACUUUGUGAUAAACAUAGAGAGGUCGGUAAUACUUAAUGUAUAUCAACAAUAAUGAUAAAAGCCACUAAACUUUCCCACUGAAACUCUUUUUUACGCGCGCGUUCCCUUUCUUUUUCCACAAAACUCUUUCUCUUUCGCUGAAACCGCUACCACCUCUCCGAUCUGAAGACUUGAAGCGAAGGUGAGGAUUCAAUUUCCCCUUUCUCCCAGAAACCGCUACCACCUCUGAGAUCUGAAGCUUCACGUUAUGGUGAUGGAGAUUACAUGAAGGUGAUGAAGAUCUGAAGCUUCGCAAAUGUUCUCUCUGUUUCUCUCACAGAAAUUCCGGAAGGUAAGUUUCCAGAUCUGAAAUCUCCACUGCAAUUUCGUUUCUGGUUCUGGAAUUCUCAUCCCAACGUCACUUGAAUUGUGGAAUCUGAAAUUUUCAGUUCGUUUUGUUGAAAAAUUCUUCAGAGAAUCAGAGAUAGAAAUUGCAAGAGAGAUAAUAGGGUUUUUGUGCAGAAGAGAGAAAGGGGCAUUUCCAUUUCAAUGUGAUUUUAGCUGCAUACUCUUUGAUUUAAGAAAUGAACAAAACAAUCAGGGUAUGUUUUUUUUUGGUAAAAUUUGAGUCCAGAGAGAAGAGCAGGCUCAACAAGUUAGUUAAGGGAAGAGUUUGAUGCAAUUUUGAGUCUCUUAAGUCUCCAUUAUGCUAUUUUAGUCUAACUAUUUUAGUUUGUAUCAUAGUCUCAAGUAUCAAGAGUUUGCUGCAAUUUUUGGCUAGAUAAGUUAAAAAAUGCAUCUAAAAUUUUGAUUUAAAACUCGUUAUUUUGAAUGAUUUAUUGUCAAAUUAGUUUCUUAUUGAAGCAUUGUUUUUUACAGGAUCAAACUACAUUUUAUAGUAUUAUGGCUAGGAAAGUUAACCGCAGGUUUGUCGAUGAACAACAUCAUGAUGAAGAAGUGCAGCCUUAUAUACUUCAAUUAAUGCAUGAAGAGAACUCUCACUCUGAAGCACAUGUUGUUGAAUCUAAUGAAUUGAUGAAUUCAGCUAGAACUAAUGAUGAACAAAAUGAUGAAGCAGGUGCUAUUAUUUUAUAGAAUAAUUUCUGUACUUUUAUAUUUGCUUGAAUUGAAUCCUGACAUUCAAAUGCUUUCAUAUUAGGUUCUUCAAAAACAAGAAAGGUCCGUGGGCCUACCUUAUUAAAAGAUAUAUGGAAUAUGCCUCGAGGGAAGACAAUUGAUGUGAGAUUCAAUACACGUAACCAAGCUAUAGGAAAGGAAGGUCGAAAGCUUGCUAGCUUUCUAGGAAUUAUAGCUAGAACACCACAAUCAACACCUUUAAACAUAGAAGAUUGGAGAUCAUUUGAUAAAAAUGAAAAGAGUAAAUUGGUGGAGCUUGUGAGGGUAUGGAAUAUCUUUACUUAAUCUUCAUUUAAUAUUGCUUUGCUUUUAUCAUGCAUAGUUUAACCUUGCAAUUAUUUAUUGUAUAUCUGUAGAAAAAGUUCUCAAUCCCUACAUGCGGUGAGGAAUUUGUCAAGAAAUCACUUGGGAAGAAAUGGAAGGAUUACAAAUGUGAUUUAAGGAGUAUGUAUACGACAAUGUAUAAGACCAGAGAUACCUUAUUGAAAAAUAGACCAAAUCGUAUACCUAGAGACCAAUGGAUUGGUUUGGUCUCUUAUUGGCUUUCUGAUAAAGUAAAGGUAACAGUUUUAAAAGAAGUCAUUUGGAAAAAUAUAAUAUGUUCUAAGUUUCUUAAUUCCUUGAGAUGCUUGAAGUGUUGGUGCAUAAGUUAGCCUUUUUUGUCUGAGUUCACAUGAUGGAAUCAAAUAUUGACUAAAUGAAUUCAAUAAUUUUAGUAACCAUGAAUUCUAGUUUCUGAAUCAAUUAAUUGUUACCUUGAUUUAUAGUAUUUUAUGGAACUCACACAUUGUUUCUCUUUAGUUUUUGUAAAUAAAUAGUGAUGGUGUUUUUUAUUUUACAAUAACAGAAGCGUAGCCAGACAAAUAGAAGCAAUAGAACAAAGCAAAAGAUUCCUCACACUGGAGGAUCCAAGAGUAUCGGAACUCUAAUGGAUGAACAGGUAUUAAUUAUAUAUAUAUAUAUAUAAUUUUUCUUAAGAACUUGUUUAAAAUCAAUUAUUUUGUAGGCCAAAGAUGGGAUAGAGCCUACGCGAGCAGAAGUUUUCAUUUUAACUCAUAAGAAACGCAAAGACGGUAGACCAUUAGAUGAGGAGUCUUCUAAAACAGUGGUAAGUUGAAAUUAUAUUAUCCUAUUAUAGCUAAAUUAACUACUAGUUGGCGAUGUGUCUCUCUAGUUCUGAUUUGGUCAACGCCAUAAAUUUAAAAAAGUGGAUAGGUGGUAGAGUAAACCAAGAGAAUCAAACCCAAUCCUAAACUAGUUUUGUCAUCAUUCUGAUUAUAAUGCUUAGCCAUUUAACAUACAUAAAGAACAGAAUUGAAUAUAAUUCUUGUCUAUAUGAGAAUUUAUUGUUGUUCAUCUACACAUACUCUAGUUUGUAUCAGACUACUUAGUGUGAUAAAUUGGACAUUUAUUUAGUAGUUUGUAGUAGUGCCAUUUCUUAGAUUGCAGAGCAAAAUGUUCCUCUUGUUUUUUUAUGCCAGUCUCAUUCACUCACCCUCAUUAGGAUAUGAUACAAGAAAAGUUGAACAACGAAAGGACCUCUACUGAACAAUCUGAUGGUAGCGUUGCUUGGGAAGGAGAUGUGUAUACCCAAGUAUUUGGACCUGAAAAAAGUGGCUAUAUUCGUGGUUUAGGACUUGGUCCAACUCCUUCUAUAUUGUGGGGUAAUAAGUCUUUGUCAGGGAAUAUCUCUAGGAGCAAUAUGUCAAAUGACAUGCUCCAAAGGUUAGAGCAAGAGAUGAAGCAGUUGAAGGAAAGGCAUGAUGAAGAGAUGACGAUGAUGAAACAAAAUCAGGAAAGAUUGUUGUCAGAAUUAUCUUUCAUGAGACAAGUGAUGUGUAAAUUUAUUCCUACGGAGUCAUCUAUUCUGCAUAACCUUAGCAGAAGCUUAUUUGGACGAGUAAGACAUUAAAAGCUUAUCAACAUAUUUGUUAAACUUUGAUUGUAAAAUACAAGUUUAAUAUAUCAUGUCUUAAUAUUAUGUUAUUAGGUCCCAUCUGAUGCUAACAGUGGUCAUGAAGGAGCACCCCAAGCACCACACAAGUCAUCCUGAUUGCACAGUGUUGAUCAAAAUAUUGAAGAUGCUCAAGGUAUUGCACUUGUAUUCAUUUUUUAUCCAAACAGAAUUUUAUGAAAAUGAACAAAGAUACUUAUAGCAUUUGGUUUAUUGAACACAAUUUUUGUGAACUAGAAGUCACUGCUACUUGUCACCUACUUCCAACUGCAGACAGACCAUUCAGUUCAUAUUUUGCUUUCAUUGACAUUGUCUCAUGGUAUUGCACAUGAACAUGUGUUAUUUUUCAUUUACAUUAUAUUAUGAACUGUGAUUUGUAUAUAUUUAAAUAAUAUAUUCAUUUUAUGUUAUCAUUUCAGGGCAUAAUUUUUGAUGUUGAGAAAUCAAACCAUGGAAGAUUUCACUGGGGGAUUAAGCGCUGAAGUAUUUGUUCACGAAUUAUAUACUUUGCAGAUAGUACAUAUUACUAUUAGCCUUGGAUAUUAGUAUACUUUAUGUUUUGAAACUCAACAACUUGUAAUAGGAGCACUUAAUAGUAUAGGGUGGAUUUAAUUGGUGAGAUAUUUUCUCAAUGCAAUUAUUAUAUUUGCAUAAUAUAAAUUGUUAAGUAUUGUUGUUACUUGUUACUAUACAAAGUAAUAAAAAAAUUAGCAUUACUGUUCUCUUUAUAUCACUUAAAAUUUUAUUUCUUAAAUUUUCGAAAUUAAGGGUAAUUCCUGACAUCUUGGGCUGGCAAUGCUGAUGAGUUUUUAGUGGCAAUAAUAAAUGCCAACGAAGGAUUCAGAGGUGGCAAAAUUAAAAAGUGUUUUAGUGGCAAUACUUAAAGCCAGGAAAAAUUGCCGCUAAAAAUGAAAAUAAUUUCCCGGCCGUUCAUGUCCCCUUUACCGGCGCCCGGUACAAUAGUCGGGAUUGCUUUUACCGACGUCGCAUACUCCGGCUGAACACAUAUAGCCGGUAAAGUUGUUAGCGGCCAUUUUUAUUGCCGCUAAAAGCAAUAAUAAUUGCCACUAAAAACGAGUUUUGUUGUAGUGUGUUUUGCCCUUGAAUGUAAGAUUAGAUUCUUACUGAGUGAGAUUGCAACAGUAUUGUCACAGUAGAUUGGGAUGUUGCUCUCAAGGAUUUGAUAAUCUUCUAAUUGAUGUUCCAUCCAGAUCAUCUGAGUACUGCAAAUAGCUGCUGAGAUAUAUUCUGCCACUGCAGUGGAUAGUGCAAUAAUAGACUGCCUCUUGCUUGCCCAUGAGACUAAGUUACUUCCCAGAAAUUGACAAUUUCUAGAAGUACUUUUCCUUUCAGUUCUAUCUCCAGCAUAAUCAGCAUCACAGUAACCUGAAAGCUUAUACUAUGAUGUUUUCUUAUACAUCAAGCAAAGGUUAGUGGUACCUUUCAGAUAUCUGAGAAUUCUCUUAACAACAGUUAAGUGAGUUUCUCUCAUAUCUGAUUGGAAUCGAGCACAUAAAUAUACACUAAACAGAAUAUCUAGCCUAGAUGCAGUUAAGUAUAGAAGUGAUCCUAUCAUACCACGAUAGAGCUUCUGACAUACUUUUCCACUGGCAUCUUCUUUCUCCAGAAUGCAUGUAGGAUGCAUUGGAGUCUUAGCAAUCGUAGAUUCUGUCAUAUUGAACUUCUUCAGAAGUUCCUUUGUGUACUUGCUUUGAUGGAUGUAAGUUGCUUUUGGUUUUUGAUCAACUUGUAUUCCCAGAUAGUACUUAAGUUCUCCCAUCAUACUCAUUUCAAAUUCAGCCUGCAUCAUCUCAAAAAAUUCUUUGCAAAGAGAUGAAUUAGCAGAUCCAAAUAUAAUAUCAUCAACAUAAAUUUGCACAAUUAAGAUAUCAUCUUUGUAAGUUAAUGCAAAAAAGAGUUGUAUAUACUUUACCCCUUACAAACUCAUUUUCCAGAAGGAAUGAGCUUAGUCUCUCAUAUCAUGCUCUGAGAGCUUGCUUCAGACCAUAGAGAGAUUUCUUCAAUUUGAAAACAUGGUCAGGGUUCUUCUCAUCUUCAAAACCAGGAGGUUGGUGCACAUACACUUCCUCUGAGAUGUAUCCAUUCAGGAAGGCACUUUUAACAUCCAUCUGAUGAAGAAUUAUGUUGUGAUUCACUGAGAAUGAGAUCAGCAGUCUGAUAGCUUCCAAUCUUGCUACUGGAGCAAAUGUUUCAGUAUAAUCUAUCCCUUCUUGCUGACUGUAGCCUUGAGAAACUAGCCUUGCUUUGUAUCUGACUACAUCUCCUUUUUCAUUCAGCUUGUUUCUGAAUACCCAUUUGGUUCCAAUGAUGUGAGCAUCUUGAGGUUUCUUGACAAGGUUCCAAACGUCAUUCUUGGAGAAUUGAUUCAGUUCUUCUUCCAUUGCUAGAAUCCAGUCUUUGUCUUGAAGAGCUUCAUCAAUUGACUUUGGUUCAAUUAAGGAUACCAAUCCUUUCAGACUAAGCAGAAUCUCUUCAGAGGGUCUGAAUGCUGAUCUGGUUCUGACUGGUUCAUCUUUGUUUCCCAUAAUCAACUCCUUAGGGUGAGAGGCAAUAAUUCUGAUAUUCUUCUGAAACUGGGAAUCAGAGGGACUAGCUUCCUCUGGAGAGUCUGCCUCUGGCUCAGCUUCCUCUGGAGCUUUGCCUUUAUCAGAAACAUUUACACUCAUAUCUGCAAACUUUUCAACUAGCUUUGACUGAUCAGGGUCAAGCUUAUCAUCAAAUCUAACAUGAAUAGAUUCCUCAAUAGUUUUAGCAUCAGUAUUAUAAAUUCUAAAGCCUUUAGAACGAUCAGAGUAAUCAAGUAAUGGACAUUUAGAAGAUUUAGAAUCAAACUUAUGCAAUUUAUCCCUAGUAUUCAGAACAUAGCAAACACAACCAAAAGGAUGAAAGUAAGAAAUGUUGGGCUUUAUAUUCUUCCACAAUUCAUAAGGAGUCUUAUUCAGAAUUGGUCUGAUAGAGAUCCUGUUCUGAAUGUAACAUGCUGUGUUUACUGCCUCUGCCCAGAAGUGCUUUGCCAUGUCAGUUUCUUGAAGCAUGGUUCUAGCCAUCUCCUGAAGAGUUCUAUUCUUCCUCUCAACAACACCAUUUUGUUGAGGAGUUCUAGGACAAGAGAAAUCAUGUGCAAUCCCAUAGGAAUCAAACAGACUCUCAAACUUGUCAUUCUCAAACUCUCCACCAUGAUCACUUCUAACACGCACAAUCCUGCAAGCCUUCUCGUUUUGCACUUGGGCAAUAAAGGUAGAGAACACAGAAUGAGACUCAUCCUUGCAGGAUAGAAAUUUUACUCAUGUCCAGCGGCUAUAGUCGUCAACAAUGACCAUCCCAUAUCUUUUGGCACCUAAAGACUCAGUUUUCACUGGUCCAAACAAGUCGAUAUGCAGAAGUUCCAACGGCCUUGAGGUGGAAACAACAUUCUUUGCCUUGAACGAGACUUUUGUAAAUUUUCCUUUCUGACAUGCUUCACAAAGAGCGUCUGAAGAGAACUUCAAAGUGGGUAAGCCCCUGACAAGGUCAAGCUUACUCAGCUGAGAAAUCUUUCUCAUACUGGCAUGCCCUAACCGUCUAUGCCAUACCCAUUGCUCCUCAUUAACAGAAAGAAGGCACUUUACAUUCUAAGUUUCAAACUCAGAUAAUUUGAUCUUAUAAGUGUUCUUCCUCUUCUUGCUGCUAAACAGAACAAAACCAUCGAUCUGACUUACAGCCCUACAAGACUUUUGAUUGAAAAUAACAUCAUAACCCUUGUCAGCUAAUUGACUUAUUGACAAUAAGUUGUGAGUUAAACCAUCUACCAACAGAACAUUAUCAAUGCAUGGACUAUUAUCAACACCAAUAGUACCAUAACCAACAAUUUUACCCUUCUCGUUGCCACCAAAGCCAACUUCGCCUCCAGGCUUAAGUUUUAGCUUUUGGAACUUACGCCUUUCUCCCGUCAUGUGACGCGAGCAUCCACUGUCCAGAUACCAUGAUUGGUGUUUCAGUGGAGCGAUCAAGGAUAUCUGUAACAUAGAUAAUCUUAUCCUUAGGUACCCAUUUUCUGGGUCCUUUCUUGUUAGUUACCUCAGAGGUUCUGACAACCUUAGGUUUCUCAACAAGAUAAUGUAAAGGAAUUCGAAAAUGAUAUUUAGACAUAGAGAAAGUUCCCUUUUUGAGAGGGGGGUCAGCAACUUUAACAGGCAAUGGUUCAGGCAAUAUAGUACCAGAGGGUACAAAAUGUUCAUACAGAGGUUUAGCCUUAGGCAUAGGAGGCUCAUUUCUACUGGGUCUAGAAUAGCCAAUGCCAUACAUUCCAUUUCUGCUUACGCCAUAGAUCAUUGAAGCCAUCAAGCUUCUGUCUACGCUUUUAGCUAGGAAUCUUUGAAAAGAUUUUUCAUAUUUGGAUUCAUUCUUAAUAUCAGAGGCAUCACAAGCAACAACUUCUUCUAACUUAACAAUCUGGUUUUUGAGCACAGAGUUAGAGUUUACUAAAGCAUGAUUAUUCGCUUUUAACUCAGAAAUAAUUUUCUCAUGUUCAGUAGAAGUCUUAGAAACAGCAGAGAAAUCAUAUUUCAACUUUUUAUGCUUAGUCAGGAGAGAGUUAUAUUUAUCCAUGAUUUCAGACAAAGCACAUUUAAGUUCAGAGGUUGAGAAAGAAGCGAAUACCUCAUUUUCAUCGCCAGAGUUUGGAUCUCCCUCUGAUGCAGAUUCAGAUUUAAUUGCUUCGUUCGACUCUGCUUCCUUGUCCUUGACAAUAGCCAUGAGUCCUUCAACAACUUCUACAUCAGAGUCAACAUCCUCUGACUCUGAUUCAUCAAAAGUCACCAUGAGACCUUUCUUAGCUUUGAAAUGCUUCUUUGGCUUCUUGUCCUUUUUCAGCUUUGGACAAUCACACUUGUAGUGCCCUGGUUCUUUGCAUUCAAAACAUGUGACUUCCUUUGAUGAAGACUUCUUCUGACCAGAUGAGGAUUCAUGCUUUCCUUUAGCCUUUCCAGAGCCUCUGUACUUGCUCUACCCGUGCUUCCAGAUGCGGUUGAGCUUUCUGGAGAUCAAGGUUAGCUCAUCUUCACAAGAAUCUUCAGAGGUUUCUUCAGAUUCUUCUGCUUUAGCUUGGAGAGCUUUAGCCUUUUCAUAUUUGGAUUUCAAGGCUAUAGACUUCUUCUUAUGAUCCUGAUGUUCAGCACGCUUCAGUUCAUGACACUUCAGUAUGCUUAUGAGUUCUUCCAAACUCUUCUGCUCAACAUCUCUUGUGAGAUCCAAGGAAGUUAUCAAAGGCAUCCAGCUUUCAGGAUGACCUCUAAGGAUCCUCAUGAUAUGAUCAACAGUGGUGUAGCUUUUGUUGAGGGGUCUUAUUCCAGCAAUGAGCAACUGAAAUCUGGAAAACAUAUCCUUAAUGGACUCACUGGGUUCCAUUUGGAAGGAUUCAUACUUCCUGAUCAAAGACAACGCCUUUGAUUCUUUCACCUUCUUAUUUCCUUCAUGGGUCAUCUUCAAGGAGUCAAAGACCCUUAGCAUACUCACGGUCUGUUAUAUUUUGGUAUUCUUCAUAGGAAAUAGCACUGAGAAGAAUAGUUCUAGCUUUGUGAUGCAGCGAGUAAAGCUUCUUCUGCUCAGCAGUCAUCUCUGUUCUGGAGAUCUUCUUGCCAUCAUCAUCAACUGGACGCUCGUAGCCAUCCACUAUGAUAUCCCAGAGAUCUGCAUCAAAGCCUAGAAAAAAGCUUUCGAUUCUGUCAUUCCAGUACUCAAACCUUUGACCAUCAAACAUAGGAGGCUUUGCACUGUAAACAUCUUUUUACGCUUCACUGGUGGUAGCCAUCUCAGUUUUUCACACCGGCCCGGAUCACUGAACACUGUUAGGUGUGGUAAUCAGAACUUGCGCUCUGAUACCAAUUGAAGGUAUGAAAAACGAUAGAAAGGGGGGGGGUUGAAUAGCAUUUUCAAACUAAAACUUUUCCCACUUGAGAUUUUAACAAAUCUCUUCAAACACAGAAGAUAAAAGUGCUAAGAUAAGAGUUGAGGAAAGCACACAAUGAUUUUAUCCUGGUUCACUUGAUAAAUCCCUCAAGCUAAUCCAGUCCACACGUUAAGAUGAUUUCUUCCUUCUUAGAAUGAAGGCAAUCCACUAAUCAGAGUUUGUUACAACUGCACUUGCAACCUGCAAAGUGACUAACAAUACAAUGACUUAGCUAUCACUAAGAUUCACUCUCUUAGUCUUCUCAAGGAUCUAACCAACCUAGGUCUCCUUAAGGAAAAACAAACAACUGUUUGAGAGUUUGGGUUUACUAAGAAAUGCUUCUCAGAAAGCUAAAGUAAACACAAUGUAAUCAGUUUGAAGAAAGAUUGCUAAGAGAAUAUUUGAAUAUUGCUUGAGCUUGAACAUGGUUUCUUAGACGACAUCUUUCAUCUUCAGCCUCUUUAUAUACUCCAAGGAUUAGGGUUUAGACGUUGCAUGGAAUACUAACGUUGGAGGGCAGAUCUGGGAUUUCCAGGUUCUAUUGUGGCUGAACACGUUAGGUAAGGUCGUCAGGAAUAGUACAGUUGCUUUUGUACUUGGAUAGCGACUUGACCUUUAACCUAGAUGACUUCUAAUCAGAGUGACGCUUCAUGUUGGAACUUGUGGAGCUUGGUGAUCAGAGUCAGAGGGAAGCUUUGAUCCUCUGACCUUGUAACUUCUGCUUCUGAACUCAAAGGUGAAGUACUUGGUCUUCAGAGCCAGCUUACUCUUGGACUUCAGAGUCUUCACUUCUCAGCUUCUGGACCUUCAGAGCCUCUGGACCUACAGAGCUUCUGGAUCUUCAGUACUUCUGGUCUUCAGAACUUCAAGUGAUCUGAAUCCAUAUCAGAGCUUAACAAUCUUCAGAUCUUAUGAAGCAUAUUCUAUUGUUCAGAUUGAACAAAGUGAGUGCGAAAGCGUUGCGUAGGUUACUCUUUGAGCAUAGUGCUUCUGAUUUAUGUGUAAUUUGACCAGAGUCGGAGCCUGUCAUUUAAACACUCAGAAAACAACGUUAGAGUACCAUAAUAUUUCAUACAUAAUAGCUAACAUGUAACCAUCAAAACAUAGAGUUGUACUACAUGAUCAAAACUUGAUCUUACAACUUCCAGAAAUACCCUAGCUUGAUCACCAAGUAAUCAAAACGAAGCUUCACAUAAAACCUAGCCAACUCAUUGCAGGUUUCGCAGGGACAGAUGUCACAGGCAAGAUAUUGUGACAUCGGGUCCGACAUGUUGGCCAAAAACUUAACUUAGCUAAAAUGCAGACAACAUAACAAAGGAACAACAAUCUCCCCCUUUGUCAAAUUUUAGCUAAUACAAUCCACUACCAUAAAGAACUCUUCAGCAGCUUGGAACUAGAAAAACCUUGAAUCAACAUAGAAGAGCAUCCACACAAACAAGGUAGCUUACACAUCAACAUAGCUAGUAGCAUCAGUUAUGCACAUUUCAAUCUCAAAACCAUUCUCAGUGCAGCAGGUCACCAUAUCAGAGUUUUAGCACAGCAGCACACAAUCAACUAUUACAAACAACAAGAUGUUGUUUGAAUAGAACACACAACUGCACAGUAGCAAGAAGCUACCAAACCACAAUAGCAGAAAGCCAUAAAGAACCAACUACCAAAUACCAGAGAUAACCAAAUACUACUAAUUACUCCCCCUUAUUAGCAUAAUUUGGCAAAGGUACUCAUAACAGAAUAGCAUCCAAGUGCUUACCAGAGCUAUCCACAGAAGUCAUCAGCACCAUAUUCAAGAAUUAUACAGACCAGGAGCAAAUAAGGAGCGCACAUAGCCACAUAGGGCUCAAAUACAUCCAAAAGAAAAAGAACAAAUCAAAGAGAUAUGCUCUGAGUUGCAGAACUCUCAAAACCAGUCACAUCCUCUUCAUCUUCAUCUUCAUUGUCUUCCUCUUCUUUUUCCUCUACAACCUCCUCAGUCUCAGCAUCUUCUUCUUCAUCAGCAGCAGCCUCAGCUUCCUCUUCUUCACUUUCUUCCUCAGCAGCAGCAGUUGCAACAUUUGACAUAGUCUUGAUGAGUUGAUCAACAUUGAAUUUUCUGACUUUGCAAGCCUGAAUAGUGUCACCAAGAGACUUGGAGACAGCCUUCAACUCAGCCAAGAUGUCUUCCUUGCUAGAACCAACUGCCUUAGUGCCACUGGAACUGGCAGUUCCCUUUGCUGCAGAGAGCACAAUGUCUGGAACAUGUGUCCCAGCAAACAACCGGUAAUCAAACUUGAGAGGCAGGGAAUUCUUACCUUGAGACUCAUCAGCCCUCACAAUAGUAAGUUGUUGAUGUGUAAUGAUCUCUGAGAGAAGACAAGGAAACAGAAUAGGCAGCUUCACAGUAUAUGAUCCAGCAUGCUUGAGAGUCUGCUCAAAAACCAGCUUUCCAAAAUCAAACUCACCCCCAGUUCCAACCAAAUAAAGCAUUUUGGCCAGAGGUGGAGUCACACCAGACAAGUGAUUGGUGGGCAUCCAAUUUGCAGUACCAAUCUUGUAGAGAACAACAUAUUUGGCAGUAAGCCUCCCAGAUGGAAGCAAUCCCUUCUUAGGCCACUUCCUGACCAACUUCCCGGUAAGGGUUGUAGCAAAGGCUCCCCCCCACAGCAACAGGGCUUCUGCUCAAAAACUCAUUGAUCACUUCAGGAGAGAAGUUGAUGCACUUCCCCCUCACAAACAUCUUCCUGUACUCGGCACUGGAAGCAUCUUCACAAUCAGCAGGGAUGUUCACAAUGAAGUCCCUAACAAGCUUGUCAAAACAUCUGCCAAGAUCCUGGACAGUCUUCAUCAAACCAGCAGCAGAGAUAACCUCCAUUAUUUCCUUGAGUUCCAAGGCAUCUUCAUGUAGUUCCCUUUUAAUAGCAAGCCUCCUUUGAACCACAUAUUUCCAUCUCUGAGCAGAGUUUGGAAAAUGAAAGGACACAUUGUCCACAGGAGCAUCAGGAACAUUUUGAGGAAUAUUCUUACCUUUCAUCCGUUUUCUGGCAGUGGUUGAGAUGUCUGGGACAUCUGGCACGACAUCGGCCUCGAAGUCAGGAUCAGACACAUGUCUUCUUUUCUUUCCAGUAGAAGGUGAUGACGUCUUGUAUUUCUUUGUCUCCUUCCUAGGUUUUGGAAUAUGAGAACUUCUGGAAGUCUUUGGAGUCGUAGCAGCAGAUCCUUCGUUCUUCUGCUUCGUUAUGUCUGCAACCUUCCUUUUGGCACCACUAACAGGAACAUGGGACUCUUUGAUGAGCAAUUCUCCAUCAGAGUCUUCAUCAGCAGAUGCAACCACCUUCUUUUCCUUACCCUUUUUGGUGGAUGAAGUAGGGGUUUUUUGAACAGGAACCUCCUCAGAGGAAGAAACGUCAUGUGCAGAGGUUUCAUUCUCAUCGUGCUCCUUUUGACCCGAAGCAUGAGACUUGACAAUAGAACCAGAGGGAGAGGAUUGAUGUGUUAGUUCAACAUCUGGUGCAACAUUUGCAGCAGUGGCUACAUUUGCAAGUUUCUCAAGAGCCUCAUUAUCUUCUUGAUUCACAGCUUCUGGAAGAUUUGGAUUUUGAUCAUCCUCAUCAUCAGAGAUAAUUUGUAUCCCCAAAUUCUUACUGGGUCCUCUUUUAGGAGCCACAUGCUUCAUACGAAUGCUUCUUCUUCGUGGUUGGGCUGACCCAGUUGGAGCAUGAGUAGCACUUGCAGCUUUAUGGGGAACCCUAGAGGGAUUUGAAGAAGAUGCAGUGGCACCCACAAUCUUCACAUUGAGGUCUGGGCUGAUGAUCUUUGAACCUCCCUUCUUCUUCUUGCCAGAAUCAUGAGUCAUUGUGAAGUGAACUGUAGAGAAAACUGAAAAAAAUAACCGUUGAAGGUUAGAGAGAGAAAACAGUCACACUUUUGGACAACACACUGAAAAGGAUUGAUGAAUCCCAAUACGCGAUCAUGGGCAGUUAUAUAAUGAACAAUAUAGUCGUUGCCCGUGACAAGUGUCAUUAACUUCUACAAGUCAGUUAGGACACAAAUCCCUAACUUUCCUCUUAAUUUCUCAAAUUUUGCUGCAUCCAAUGCUUUUGUAAAAAUGUCAGCUAACUGCAACUCAGUUUCCACAUGUUCAAGAGUGAUAAUCUUUUCUUCCACCAAUUCUCUAAUGAAAUGAUGACGAAUAUCAAUGUGUUUUGUUCUACUAUGCUGGAUUGGAUUUUUGGAAAUGUUGAUAGCACUCAGGUUGUCACAGAACAAUGUCAUGACAUCUUGUUUGACAUCAUAUUCCUUCAACAUUUGUUUCAUCCACAUUAAUUGGGUGCAACCACUUCCAGCGGCAAUGUACUCUGCCUCAGCUGUAGACAAGGAAACACAGUUUUGCUUUUUGCUGAACCAAGAAAUGAGAUUAUUUCCCAAGAAGAAACACCCCCCUGAGGUGCUUUUUCUAUCAUCUGCAUUUCCUGCCCAAUCUGCAUCACAAUAACCUAUCAACUUAGGAUCAGUGUUGUGAGCAUAAAAAAUACCAUAGUCAAUAGUUCCACUGAUGUACUUAAUGAUCCUCUUGACUUGUAGAAGAUGACUUUCCUUAGGUGCAGCUUGAUACCUAGCACAAACCCCAACUGAGAAGGCAAUAUCAGGUCUGCUAGCAAUGAGAUAUAGCAAACUUCCAAUCAUGCUUCUGUAUAAGCUUUGAUCAACAUCUACUCCAUUCUCAUCCUUAGUCAAUUUGACAUGAGUUGCUGCAGGAGUUCUCUUGUGUGUUGAAUUUUCCAGACCAAUUUUUUUAACUAAUUCCUUAGCAUACUUACUCUGAGAAAUGAACAUAGAGUCAUCCAUCUGUUUUACUUGCAAGCCCAGAAAAUAGUUUAGUUCACCUACCAUGCUCAUCUCAAACUCAAAUUUCAUUUGUUUGACAAAAUGUUCUACCAUCUGGUCUGACAUUCCGCCAAAGACAAUGUCAUCAACAUAUAUCUGCGCAAUCAUCAACUUUCCUUUGACACUCUUUACAAAUAAGGUCUUAUCAAUUCCACCUUUGUUGUAACCAUUGCUAGUUAGGAAUUCAGUAAGCCUUUCAUACCAAGCUCUUGGUGCCUGUUUUAAUCCAUACAGUGCCUUUCUCAACUUGUAAACAUGUUCUGGAUAAGUUGAGUCAGUGAACCCUUUUGGCUAUUCAACAUAGACUUCUUCAUUCAAAUAACCAUUCAAGAAAGCACUUUUAACAUCCAUUUGAAACAAUCGGAACUUUAGAAGACAUGCCACUCCAAGCAGAAGUCUGAUGGAUUCUAAUCUAGCAACUGGUGCAAAAGUUUCAUCAAAGUCCACUCCUUAAAUCUGAGUAUACCCUUGAGCUACUAGCCUGACCUUGUUUUUUGUGACGUUGCCACUUUCAUCUGACUUGUUCCUAAAAAUCCAUUUGGUACCUAUAACGUUUACACCAUCUGGUCUAGGCACUAAAUUCCACACAUCAUUUCUUUUAAACUGAGCCAAUUCUUCCUGCAUAGCAUUUAUCCAGUAUUCAUCUGUGAGGGCUUCCUUGACAUUCUUGGGUUAAAUUUUUUAGAUGAAACAACCAUUUGCAAUGAUUUCUCUGGACCUUGUAGUUACCCCUGUGUUAGGAUCUCCUAUGAUGUUUUCUUUAGAAUGAAUCUUUUGAAUUCUGAUAGAGGGUCCUUUGUUCUAUGGUGAUGUGCUUUCAUUUUCAUCUUCAGAUUCACUGUCUGAUGCUAUGUCAGUGACAUGUGGUCUGACAACGGACUGAGGUGGAAGAUCUUCUUCAAUAUCCUUUGUAACUUCAGUUUCUUCCAAUUUAUCAUCAACCACUACAUUUAUGGAUUCCAUCAUUGUCUUGGUGCGAGAGUUGUAUACUCUAUAUGCCCUACUGUUUGUAGAGUAUCCCAGAAAAAUGCCUUCAUCACUCUUUGGAUCCAUCUUUCUUCUUUGCUCUCGAUCAGCUAGUAUGUAACAUUUACUUCCAAAAACAUGAAAGUAUUUUACAGUAGGUUUUCUCCCUUUCCAUAACUCAUACAAAGUGGAAGUAGUUUCAUAUCUAAUUGUCACCCGAUUGUGAAUGUAACAAGCUGUAUUCAUUGCUUCAGCCCAGAAGUGAUAAGGAAGUUUCUUGGCAUGCAGCAUUUCUCUGGCAGAUUCAUGCAAUGUUCUAUUCUUCCUUUCUACCACUCCAUUUUGUUGAGGAGUAAUAGGUGCUGAGAACUCGUGACCUAUUCCUUCACUGGCACAAUAGUCUGAGAAUCUACUAUUUUCAAACUCCUUGCCAUGAUCACUUCUGAUUUUGACAAUGCCAUGACCCUUCUCUCUCUGGAGUUGUUGACAUAGUCCUUUGAACACAUCAAAAGUGUCUGAUUUUUCUGCAAUAAAAUUCACGCAGGUGUAUCUUGAAAAGUCAUCAACACAGACAAAAGCAUACCUUUUUCCUCCAAUACUUUCUACUUGCACUGGCCCCAUGAGAUCCAUGUGAAUAAGUUCCAGUAUUCUGGUUGUUGCCACAUGUUGCAUCUUCUUGUGAGAGGCUUUUGUUUGUUUUCCAACUUGGCAUUCCCCACAGAUUUUUCCUUCUUCUAUCUUCAAGAUUGGUAGACCUCUGAUAGCCUCCUUUGAGAUUAUCUUCCUCAUGCUCGUUAUAUUGAGAUGUCCAAGCUUUUGGUGCCAUAGCUUGACUUCCUCUUCCUUGGUUAUCAAACAUCUUGAGGACAUAGAUUUGUACUGUGAGAUCCACAUGUAGCAAUUAUCCUUUGACCUUGCACCUCUCAUGACAACUUCACCAUUUCCAUCUGUUACUUGACAUCCAGUUUUGCAGAAUGUAACAUCUAGAUCCAAGUCACAUAGCUGACUUAUGCUUAUCAGAUUUGCUGCCAGGCCUUCUACUAGCAAGACAUCAUCCAGCUCUGGAGAUCCACUACUAACAAGCUUUCCGGAUCCUUUGAUUUUUCCUUGAGCACCAUCACCAAAAGUAACAUUACUGGUGGAGUGUGGUUUUACAUCACCAAGAUAAUUCUUUACUCCAGUCAUAUGCAUGGAACACCCACUAUCAAAAUACCAAUCCUCUUUUGAAGAAGCUCUCAGAGAGGUAUAUUCAACUAGAGCAGAUGUGUUGAUCUUAGGCUUCCACUUCUUCUUCUUUAACUCAAUAGAGUUAAAUUUAGCUGAACUUCUUUUUGGAAACCCAUGUAGCCUGUAGCAAUAAGGUUUUAUGUUGCCAUACCUCCCGCAAUGGUGACAUUUCCAUCCGGUUUUGUUUCUUUUCUGUGAUUGAGGAUAGGAAUAUGGAAUCUGAGAAUGCACAUGUUUCACACCAUGUUGUGACAUCUGGCUUGACAUGUGAAAUUCAGUUUUCCUUUCAGCAGGUACAAACUAAUGAGUGACCUUCUUGUCAUCAUCUGGUGUAGAGUCACUCACAUAUCCUAGUCCUUUCACAUCCCAGGCGGUUUUUGCUGUUUCUAGCAUGAGAUCAAACAUAUCAGUUCCAUUAUUCAGCAUGCGUACAGAUUUAACCAAACCUUCCAAUUUGGAUUUCAAGAUAGAUGCUUCCUCCUGAAGAUCUUCAUUUAGAAUUAGGAGUUCUUGUUUUUCCUUCUCAAGCUUUGUGACAGUUUUGUCCAGUUUCCUACCAUAGUGCAAGCCUCAUGCCAUUUUUUAAAUAAGAGCUUGUAUGCAGCAGCAAGUUCUUCAUCUGAGAUCCCUUCAUCACUAGAGUCACUAUCAGUGUUGUAUUUUACUGUCAAUCCCAUUACUGGAUGUUCAUUUUCUUCCUCAGAAUCAUCAUCUGACCAUGUUGUCACCAUUCCUUUUGCUUGCCUUUUCAGAUAUGUUGCACAUUUUGUUCUGAUAUGACCAAAACCUUGGCAUUCAUGACAUUGUACCCCUUUUGCUUUUCUUGCUCUGUCUUCUUCUCUGUUCUUGGGAGCCAUUCAUGUGUCCUUGCUGGUUUCAGACCUGUUGUCAGUAACAUUUGGUCUAGAUCCUCUGUCAAAACUUCUCAUGACUUUGUUGAAUGUUCUCCCAAGCAAGGCUAGUGCUUCUUCCAGAUUUUCAUUUGUGUCUCCACCAUUUAGACUUCCUUUUCCCAGAUUUGACACAAAUGCCAUGCUCUUGUUCUUUUUCUCAGACCUAUCAUUGAUGGACAUUUCAAAGGUUUGUAAUGACCCAAUUAGUUCAUCCACUUUGAUGCUACUAAUGUCUUGUGCCUCAUCAAUAGCAGUGACCUUCAUGUCAAAUUUCUUAGGUAAAGACCUGAGGAUUUUUCUGACCAAUUUCUCAUCUGUCAUGGGUUCUCCUAGUGCAAAAGAUGCAUUUGCCAUAUCACGCACACACAUAUGAAACUCAGAGAUUGCUUCUUCCUCCUUCAUCUUGAGAUUUUCAAAUUGAGUAGUUAACAGUUGAAGUCUUGAUAAACGAACUCUGGCUGUACCUUCAUGAGCAACCUUGAGAAUCUCCCAUGCAUCCUUAGCAGUAGUACAAUUAUGAAUCAGUCUGAACAUGUUCUUGUCAACACCAUUGAAAAUAGCAUUAAGAGCCUUAGAGUUUGCAGCAGCUUCUUCAUCUUCAGUCUUGCUCCAAUCUACUUCAGGUUUGAGUUCAAUAGUUGUGGUUCCUUCCUCGGUUUGCACUGGAUGAGUCCACCCUUUGAGCACCGACUUGUACACCCUUCCAUCAUCAAUAGAUCUAAGAAAUGCAAUCAUGCGAGCCUUCCAGUAGUCAUAAUUUGUUCCAUCAAGCAUAGGUGGCCUGUGAAUAGAACCCACAUCCUUACCGUUGUCCAUGAUACCAGAAAAGUAAAUCCCUGGAGCUUACCCAAUCAGAACAGGGUGCCUGCUCUGAUGCCAAUUGAAAUUCUGGCACACGCGGACAGAUGUUCUACCAGAUGUCUAAGACAUCUUGUACAACAUAAUACAAAAUAGUUAAUUAAAUAUGCAAUAUAGAGAACAUAAACAUAAACAAGACACACAGGAUUGUUAACCCAGUUCGGUGCAAAAUCACCUACGUCUGGAGGGUUUUCACCCAAGAGAAAGAUAAUCCACUAUUCAGAGAAAUUGUACACAAAAGGUCUUAACUGAACUGCCCCAGUUCACAACCUUUUCUACCUAUCUCUACAAGUGUUUAUUACUUAGUCCUCCCCCUAAGUAUGAGAGCCCCUCUCACUUUCUCUCAAUCACUGCCACAGUGAUUCAAAAGCUCAACACAAGAGCAAAGACAGUUCUCAUGAUCAAACAACAAAAAAUCAACUCUCAGCAAAAGAAUCAAUACAUGAAUAUGCUGAGAGAACAACAAGUGUGAACACAGACAAGAGUAAACCCUAGUUUUACUCAACAGAAGCUCUCUCCCUAAACACUAGGUUUCGGUCUUCAUAUAUAGCAGUCAUCCAGGCCUUGUCUUCGAUGGGCUUGGACGAGCAAAGGUCCACACAACACUCAGGGAGUUACUAGGAAACAAAUCUGCAGAAAAGUCUUCAAUAAAAAGUUUCCUAUUCCAAAAAUAAAACUCUCACACACUCUCAGAUCAAAUCAUUGAAACCGAUUUGAUCACAUAGAAUAUAAUCCUUGAACGGCGCAUAGAAGCUUCCAGAAAUACCCUAGCUUGAUCACCAAGUAAUCAAAACGAAGCUUCUCAGAAAACCUAGCCAACUCAUUGCAGGUUUCGCAGGGACAGAUGUCACAGGCAAGAUGUUGUGACAUCGGGUCCGACAUGUUGGCCAAAAAAUUAACUUAGCUAAAACGCAGACAACAUAACAAAGGGACAACAAGUAUCAAUAGCUUGAAAGCUCUGGAAUUUCAAAUAGGACCAUACUCAACUUUGUGUAGCAACCUUAGUCUUUCUUAGGGACCACCUACCAUGUGCUUUACCUAGCCAACAUUAUAACCUUUUUCAAGUUUCAUUGAAUAAUGCAUUUUCAACUUUAGUUGCUCUUGAGUGAAUGAUUCCCAGAACCUAUGAACUUGCUUGUGUGCUCAGUGCACUAAACAAUUGUUUCAUGCUAGGAUGUUAGUUCUAAAUGCUUUUCAUAGUGGACUCUAAUUCUUCUUUGUCUAAGAGUGGACUGGGCGGGACCCUAGGGUCCCUCGCCCAGGAGCACCAGCUUAGGGCGACGAGCGGACCAGGGACUUGGGCCUCCUCCCAAAGGCCCAACUGGCCCAUUAGGAAGGGUUGAAGGCGCCAAGCCCAAUUCCACAUCUAUAAAUAGGGGAUGAAUAUCAAUUGUAAGGGACUCUUAGCUCAUUUGAGAAAUAACAAGAUUGAAAUUUAGUUACUCUCUCCCUCUAAAAACGGUUACGCUCUCAUUCUCUCUAGGAAUCUCACAUCACGUUCCUUACACUCUAGGUACUAUACCUCAUCUCAAUGUUCUUGGAUAGAACAUUUGGUACCGUCUGUGGGGAACGAUAGAUUUCGAUUCCCGGACUACGUGGAUUAUGAUUUGGCUGAGAGAAGUUCAAUUUUCCAUGCAAUUCUCUUUGGUUUCUUUAUUUUCGGUUAAAUUCUUGAUUCGCUCGUGACACUUGAUGGAAGCGCAACAUCGACGCAGUGAAAGAAGGAUGAAACACAAGCAUGAUCCGCGCCACGCGUAUGGAAGGCGGCGCGGUGAGGAGGCGGAGUCCUCAGUCUCCUUGUUGAAACCGUUAGAAGAAGGACCGCCAUCACCUCAGUCGUUGGCCGCUCGCAGGGAUUGGAGGUGGCUGAUUUGCGACGUCAAUAGUCGCCUGAAGCAGCAGGACAUGGAUGUCCGAAGAGCGAAUACAACAGCGAAGCCUUGGACAUUGCAAAGGAAAAGCUGUUGGAAAUCCUCGAGGGAGUGGAGAAACUCGUCUCCAAAAGGAAAGCUGACGUGCUUGGCCAGAUCGUGCGAAGCAGAAAAUCUUCGGAAACCAUGAGCGACACUAAUGAGUGGCAAACCGGGAGGUGAAUGGUUCGCUUAUCACUAGGCCAUGGGCCACAUCACAGAGGAAUGCCGCACGUGGGAAAGCUGAUAGCGGCGGGAAAACCUAUUAGAACACAAGGCGGUAAUGCUUUGAUACCUAAAGGAGUAAACACGAUCGCUGGAGGGUUUGGAGGAGGAGGAGUCACUAGUGCAGCUAGAAUGCGAUACGCCAGGGCGGUGAACGCAGUCACGGAGGUUCCUUUCGACUUUUCACACCCAGACAUUACCUUUUCAUCCGAUGACUUCUUUGGAGUAAAGCCACAUCUGGACGAUCCGAUUGUAAUCCUCCUUCGCAUCAACCAACUCAAUGUGCAACGAGUACUUUUGGAUUAAGGGAGUUCAGCGGACAUCAUUUACGGCGGAGCGUUUGAUCGGCUCGGUUUGAAUGAGGGAGACCUCACUCCUUAUGUAGGGACUCUGGUGGGAUUUGCGGGCGAGCAAGUAUGGGUGAGAGGCGUCCUUGACCUAGGACGCUGAAGGUGAAAUACUUAAUUCUAGGAGCGGAGGGAUCUUACAACAUGAUAAUUGGCAGAAACACCUUGAACCGAUUGUGCGCCGGGAUCUCGACGGUACAUUUGGCGGUUAAAUAUCCUUUGCCAAAUGGACGAAUUGGGAGAGUUGUUGUGGACCAGAAGACUGCAAGGGAGUGCUACUGCAACGCGGUAGAUCGGUACGGGAAAAGGAGCGCCUUGGUAGGACACCGAUGCAACGAGGUCGAGGCGCCGGAAGAAAACCUAGAUCCAAGGGGCGAAGGGCGGGUCAACAGGCCCACGCCAAUCGAGGAAACCAAGGAACUGAAAUUCGGCGAGAAAGUACUCAAAAUAGGGACCAGACUGACUGAGGUCCAAGAACAGAGAUUAUCAAAGCUAUUGGGCGAGAAUUUGGAUCUCUUUGCUUUGAGUCACAAGGACAUUCCAGGAAUAGACCCGAACUUCAUUUGUCACAGGCUGGCGCUGAAUCCCGGAAUUAAACCAGUGACCCAGACAAGCCGACGAAUGGGAGAUGAAAAGGAGAAAGCAAUCCAACAAGAGGUCAACAAAUUAGUGGCGGCAGACUUCAUCCGGGAAAUUAAGUAUCCUACUUGGCUGGCAAAUGUGGUGAUGGUGAAGAAGGCGAAUGGGAAAUGGAUAAUGUGUGUGGACUACACAGACCUGAACAAGGCAUGUCCAAAAGAUUCUUAGCCAUUACUAAGCAUAGACAAGCUAGUGGAUGGGGCGUCCGGAAAUGAGCUGCUGAGUUUGAUGGAUGCCUAUUCGGGAUAUCACCAAAUGAGCUGCACCCGUCGGAUGAAGAUAAAACGGCCUUCAUGACCGCCAGGGUAAAUUACUGUUAUCAGGCCAUGCCCUUUGGACUGAAGAAUGUGUAAGAUCAAGUUUUGAUCUAGUAGUACAACUCUAUGUUUUGAUGAUUACAAGUUAACCUUUUGAUAUGAACAAUUGUGGUACUCUAACGUGUUUUUCUGAGUGUGCUAUUUACAGGCUCUGACCUCAACUCAAUCUCACACAAAUCAGAAGCACUGUGUAUAAAGAGCAACCCAAGCAACGCUUUCGCAUUCACCAUGUUCAGAAUGAACAGUGGAAAAGCUUCAGAAGUUCUGAAGCUACACAAACUCUGAUGUGGACUCAGUCACUAGAAGCUCUGAAGAUCCAGAAGUUCUAACAACCAAGAAACACUGAAGGCUCAGAUGUUCUGAUGGUGUAGAAGACUCUGAAGAUCCAGAAGCUGAAUAGUGGAAACUCUGAUGUCCAGAAGCAAGAAACUCUGAAGACCAUGUACUUCCCUCUGAGUUCAGAAUCAGAAGAUACAACGGUCAGAGGAUCUGUGCUUUCCCUCUGACUCUGAUCAACCGGCUUCACAAGUUCCAAUAUGAAGCAUCCCCUGAUCAGAAGUCUCCUAGGUUUAAAGGUCAAGUCGCUAUCCAAGUACAAAAGCAACUGUACCUUCCUGACGACCUACCUAACAGUCUCAGACACAGCAGAAGCUGGAUUUUCCAGAACUGCCCUCCAACGGUAGCAUUUCCCAUGCAACGCUCAACCCUAAUCCUUGGAGUAUAUAAAGAGGCUGAAGACUGAAAGAAACGGCUAGAAGCAUUCACAUACGCGCAAGACAAACUUAAAUUCUUCUAAGCUUUCUUUCAUCUGAAAUUCAUUGAGUUUACUAUUAGCUUUUUAGAAGCAAAUCUCUUGUAAACAAUUCUUUGAUAAACAGUUUGUUUAGUUCCUUUAGGAGAUCAAGGUUGAUCGGAUCCUAGAGAAGACUAAGAGAGUGAAUCUUAGUGUGAGCUAAGUCAGUGUAAUUGUUAGUCACUUGUAGGUUUCAAGUGCAGUUGUAACUCUUACCUGAUUAGUGGAUUGCCUUCAUUCUAAGAAGGAAGAAAUCACCUUAACGGGUGGACUGGAGUAGCUUGAGUGAUUUAUCAAGUGAACCAGGAUAAAAUCCUUGUGUGCUUUUCUAUCUCUUAUCUUUAGCACUUAAGUUCUCGAAAGAUUUGUCAAAAUCUUUAAGGUGGAAGUUUUAUACUGAAAACGUUAUUCAAACCCCCCCUUUCUACCGUUUUUCAUACCUUCAAUUGGUAUCAGAGCGCAAGUUCUGAUUACCACACCUAACAGUGUUCAGUGAUCCGGGCCGGUGUGAAAAACAAUGGCUGCCACCACCAGUGAAACUCAAAGAGAUGGUUACAAUGCAAAGCCUCCUAUGUUCGACGGUCAAAGGUUCGAAUAUUGGAAAGAUAGACUGGAAAGUUUCUUUCUGGGUUUCGAUGCAGAUCUCUGGGAUAUUAUUGUGGAUGGCUACGAGCGUCCAGUUGAUGCAGAUGGCAAGAAGAUCCCAAGGUCAGAGAUGACUACAGAUCAAAAGAAGCUGUACUCACAACAUCACAAAGCAAGAGCAAUUCUUCUAAGUGCUAUUUCCUAUGAAGAGUACCAGAAGAUUACAGAUCGUGAGUUUGCGAAAGGCAUUUUCGAAUCUCUGAAGAUGUCUCAUGAAGGAAACAAGAAAGUCAAAGAAUCAAAGGCAUUGUCUUUGAUCCAAAAGUAUGAAUCCUUCAUCAUGGAGCCAAAUAAGUCCAUUGAAGAAAUGUUCUCCAGAUUUCAGCUGCUUGUAGCUGGCAUACGACCUCUCAACAAGAGCUACACAACAAAAGAUCAUGUCAUAAGGGUCAUCAGGUGUCUUCCUGAAAGUUGGAUGCCUUUAGUGACUUCAAUAGAGCUCACGAGAGACGUUGAGAAUAUGAGUUUAGAAGAACUCAUCAGCAUUUUGAAAUGCCAUGAGCUGAAGCGCUCAGAGAUGCAAGAUCUGAAGAAAAAGUCCAUAGCCUUGAAAUCUAAAUCUGAAAAGGCUAAGGUUGAGAAGUCAAAAGCUCUUCAAGCUGAAGAAGAGGAAUCUGAAGAAGCAUCAGAAGAUUCUGAUGAAGAUGAGCUGACUCUGAUCUCCAAGAGACUCAAUCGCAUCUGGAAGCACCGGCAGAGCAAAUACAAAGGCUCUGGAAAGGCAAAAGGAAAGUCUGAAUCCUCAGGUCAGAAGAAGUCCUCACUUAAGGAAGUCACAUGCUUUGAGUGCAAAGAAUCAGGGCACUACAAAAGUGACUGUCCAAGAUUGAAGAAGGACAAGAAGCCAAAGAAGCACUUCAAGACAAAGAAGAGUCUGAUGGUGACAUUUGAUGAAUCAGAGUCAGAUGAUGUUGACUCUGAUGGUGAAGUCCAAGGACUCAUGGCCAUUGUCAAAGACAAGGAAGCAGAGUCAAAGGGAGAUGUUGACUCUGACUCAGAAUCAGAAGGAAAUCCUAACUCAGACGAUGAAAAUGAGGUAUUCGCUUCUUUCUCUACCUUUGAACUGAAACCUGCAUUGUCUGAUAUUAUGGAUAAGUAUAACUCCUUAUUGUCUAAGCAUAAGAAGCUGAAAAAGAACUUAUCUGCUGUUUCCAAGACUCCUUCUGAACAUGAGAAAAUUAUUUCUGAUUUGAAAAAUGAUAAUCAUGCCUUGAUCAAUUCUAACUCUGUGCUUAAGAACCAGAUUGCUAAGUUAGAAGAAAUUGUUGCCUGUGAUGCCUCUGAUUGUAGAAAUGAAUCUAAGUAUGAAAAGUCUUUUCAAAGAUUCCUAGCUAAAAGCGUGGAUAGAAGAUUAAUGGCUUCAAUGAUCUAUGGCGUAAGCAGAAAUGGAAUGCAUGGCAUUGGCUAUUCUAAACCAAUUAGAAAUGAGCCCUCUGUGUCUAAAGCUAAAUCCUUGUAUGAAUGCUUUGUUCCCUCUGGUACCAUAUUGCCUGAUCCUGUUCCUGCUAAAGUUGCUAAAAACCCUCUUAAAAAGGGAUCUUUCUCUAUGACUAAAUAUCAUGCAAAUAUUCCUUUAAAAUAUCAUGUUGAGACACCCAAGGUGAUCAGAACCUCUGGGGUAACUAACAAGAGAGGACCCAGAAAGUGGGUACCUAAGGACAAGAUUAUCUAUGCUGCAGAUAUCCUUGAUAGCUCCACUGAAACACCAAUCAUGGUAUCUGGACAGUGGAUGCUCGUGUCACAUGACGGGAGAAAGGCGUAUGUUUCGAGAGCUGAAACUUAAGCCUGGAGGCGAAGUUGGCUUUGGAGGAAAUGAAAAGGGUAAAAUUGUUGGUACUGGUACUAUUUGUGUAGAUAGUAGUCCAUGCAUUGAUAAUGUGUUAUUGGUAGACGGCUUAACACAUAACUUAUUGUCUAUAAGCCAAUUAGCUGACAAGGGUUAUGAUGUUAUAUUCAAUCAAAAGUCCUGCCGGGCUGUAAGUCAAAUCGAUGGCUCUGUUCUGUUUAACAGCAAGAGGAAGAACAACAUUUAUAAGAUCAGAUUAUCUGAGUUGGAGGCUCAGAAUGUGAAGUGCCUUCUGUCUGUUAAUGAAGAGCAGUGGUUAUGGCAUAGACGGUUAGGGCAUGCCAGUAUGAGAAAGAUUUCUCAGCUGAGCAAGCUAAACCUUGUUAGGGGCUUACCCAAUCUGAAGUUCGCUUCAGACGCUCUUUGUGAAGCAUGUCAGAAAGGAAAAUUCACAAAAGUCCCUUUCAAGGCAAAGAAUGUUGUCUCAACCUCAAGGCCGUUAGAACUUCUGCAUAUCGACCUUUUUGGACCAGUGAAAACUGAGUCUAUAGGUGGCAAGAGAUAUGGGAUGGUUAUCGUUGAUGACUAUAGCCGCUGGACAUGGGUAAAGUUUCUAACCCGCAAGGAUGAGUCUCAUGCUGUGUUCUCUACCUUCAUUGCUCAAGUGCAAAACGAGAAGGCUUGUAGGAUUGUGCGUGUCAGAAGUGACCAUGGUGGAGAGUUUGAGAAUGACAAUUUUGAGAGUCUGUUUGAUUCCUAUGGAAUUGCACAUGAUUUCUCUUGUCCCAGAACUCCUCAACAAAAUGGUGUUGUUGAAAGGAAGAACAGAACUCUUCAGGAGAUGGCUAGAACCAUGCUCCAAGAAACUGGCAUGGCUAAGCACUUUUGGGCAGAGGCAGUAAAUACAGCAUGUUACAUUCAGAACAGAAUCUCUGUGAGACCAAUUCUGAAUAAGACUCCUUAUGAAUUGUGGAAGAACAUAAAACCCAACAUUUCUUAUUUUCAUCCUUUUGGCUGUGUUUGUUAUGUUCUCAAUACUAAGGAUAGAUUGCAUAAAUUUGAUGCUAAGUCUUCUAAAUGUCUAUUACUUGGUUAUUCUGAGAGAUCUAAAGGUUUUAGAUUUUAUAAUACUGAUGCUAAGACUAUUGAAGAAUCUAUUCAUGUUAGAUUUGACGAUAAGCUUGACUCUGACCAGUCAAAGCUAGUUGAAAAGUUUGCAGAUUUAAGCAUUAAUGUUUCUGACAAAGGCAAAGCUCCAGAGGAAGCUGAGCCAGAGGAAGAUGAACCAGAGGAAGAAGCUGGUCCCUCUAACUCACAAACUCUGAAGAAGAGCAGAAUCACUGCAGCUCACCCUAAGGAAUUGAUUCUGGGCAACAAAGACGAACCAGUCAGAACCAGAUCUGCCUUCAGACCCUCUGAAGAGACCUUGCUCAGUCUGAAAGGAUUGGUGUCCUUAAUUGAACCCAAGUCCAUAGAUGAAGCUCUUCAGGACAAGGAUUGGAUUCUGGCCAUGGAAGAAGAAUUGAAUCAAUUCUCCAAGAACGAUGUUUGGAGCUUAGUGAAGAAGCCUGAGAGUGUCCAUGUUAUUGGAACGAAAUGGGUAUUCAGAAACAAGCUGAAUGAGAAAGGAGAUGUAGUCAGAAACAAGGCAAGGCUAGUUGCUCAAGGCUACAGCCAGCAGGAAGGAAUAGACUACACUGAAACAUUUGCUCCAGUAGCAAGACUGGAGGCAAUCAGACUGUUGAUCUCUUUUUCAGUAAAUCACAACAUAGUUCUACAUCAGAUGGACGUGAAGAGUGCCUUCCUAAAUGGUUAUAUUUCAGAGGAAGUCUAUGUUCAUCAACCCCCAGGUUUUGAAGAUGAGAAGAAACCAGACCAUGUGUUCAAAUUGAAGAAAUCACUCUACGGUCUGAAGCAAGCUCCCAGAGCAUGGUAUGAGAGACUCAGCUCAUUCCUUCUGGAGAAUGAGUUUGUAAGGGGUAAAGUAGAUACAACUCUUUUUUGCAAGACUUAUAAAGAUGAUAUCUUAAUUGUGCAAAUUUAUGUUGAUGAUAUUAUAUUUGGUUCUGCUAAUCAAUCUCUAUGCAAAGAAUUUUCUGAGAUGAUGCAGGCUGAAUUUGAGAUGAGUAUGAUGGGAGAAUUAAAGUACUUUCUGGGAAUACAAGUUGAUCAAACACCAGAAGGAACAUAUAUCCAUCAGAGCAAGUACACUAAAGAACUUCUGAAGAAGUUCAAUAUGCUGGAAUCUACAGUGGCCAAGUCUCCAAUGCAUCCUACAUGCAUUCUGGAGAAAGAAGAUAAAAGUGGUAAAGUAUGUCAGAAGCUCUAUCGUGGCAUGAUAGGUUCACUUCUAUACUUAACUGCAUCUAGGCCAGACAUACUAUUUAGUGUUCAUUUAUGUGCUCGUUUCCAAUCAGAUCCAAGGGAAACCCACUUAACUGCUGUUAAGAGGAUCCUAAGGUAUCUGAAAGGCACCACUAACCUUGGCUUGAUGUAUAAGAAAACAUCAGAGUAUAAGCUUUCAGGUUACUGUGAUGCUGAUUAUGCUGGAGAUAGAACAGAGAGAAAAAGUACUUCUGGAAAUUGUCAAUUUCUGGGAAGCAAUCUAGUCUCAUGGGCAAGCAAGAGGCAAUCAACCAUUGCACUAUCAACUGCAGAGGCAGAAUAUAUCUCAGCAGCAAUAUGCAGCACUCAGAUGCUCUGGAUGAAACAUCAGCUGGAAGAUUAUCAGAUCCUUGAGAGCAAUAUCCCAAUCUAUUGUGAUAACACUGCUGCAAUCUCAUUGAGUAAGAAUCCUAUCUUGCAUUCAAGGGCAAAGCACAUUGAGGUAAAGUAUCACUUUAUUAGAGAUUAUGUACAGAAGGGCGUACUUCUUCUGAAGUUUGUUGAUACUGACCAUCAAUGGGCAGAUAUCUUUACAAAGCCCUUAGCAGAGGAUAGAUUUAAUUUUAUUCUGAAAAAUCGAAACAUGGACUUUUGUCCAGAGUGAAGAUGGAUCAGAACCUCUGACUAUGAUACUUCUUGAUCAGAAGAUGUCUAGUCCAGAAGGUAACUCAAUCAGAGUGUGUGUACCCACUGGUACUGACUCUGAAGCUGAGACAGCAACACGUGUGUCAGUAUUUCUGAUGCAUAGUUCCUUGUGCCCGUGUGACAGUCUGUUAUGAUUGCGUGUAGAUGUGCUUCUCUCCUGUGUGUGAUUUGUGUAUUUACUGUUACUAUCUAUCUUUAAUUUUCAACCGUUGAUCUUAAAGUGCCUUUUAAAUCAACAACGGUUAUUUGUUAAAACCCACUAUACACACACGAUCUCUUUCACUUCCGGUUUUUACUCUCGCUCUCUCUGCUUUUCAAAAACCGCUUAUCCUCGAUUUCUCUCUCGAUCUCUCUUCAUCCUUCAACCUUCAUCUUCUACCUCAAACCUUCAACCGCUUCAAAAAUGGUGAGUCAAACCAGAAGAGCUACUGCAGAUGCAACCCAGUUCCCUCACAUGGUAGUUGGUCUAGCAACGGGUCAAAGGGGCCCUGAGAAUCCGACACAAGAUCAAGGUCACGCUCAAGAGCAGACUAUUCCAAUUGCAGAACGGGGCUGUGCCGUUCACUGCGUAUAUGCUCCUGAGGAACUUCAAGUCCUGGCAGAAUGGAGAUUCGACCUCGACAACCUGGCUACAAAUGGGUAUGAUCUUCGUCCUGAAGUCCAAAUUCAAGGUUGGGGAAAUUACUUCAACAGACUUCGAGGACCGGUGUAUGAGAAACUGGUCAAGGAAUUCUGGAAGCACGCCGACUGCGAUGAUACUCAGGUGGUAUCUCACAUUCUUGGAAGAAAGAUCAUCAUCACAGAGAAGUCCUUCGUGAACUUGCUGGGUGCAGACACUGCUUUUGGGUAUCGUUUCCAACUCACGGAAUCGAAGCUGAAACCCAGCACCAAGGAUACAAUCAACCAGGCCCUGUACACCAAUUACAAACCGGGCAAGACGAAUUACAAGGUGAUGGACCUUCAUCCCAAGCUCAGGAUCUGGCACAAAAUUCUGCUUCACUGCAUAAACCAGAGACCAAAGGGCAGUUCCCCAGACUACAUCAACUUCAACCAGAAGGUGAUGUUGUUCUUCAUCCAAGACCAGAAGAAGAUCUGCCUUCCCUACUUCCUGUUCUCCUACUUGAAGGAAUGCAUCCGGAAGUCUCGUACCACUGCCUCCAUCAAGUCAGCGAUCAAGUAUAUUCCCUUCGGGAGACUUUUGUCUGAUCUCUUCAUUGAGAGUGGCCUCGUUCAAGAUCUGAUAAAUGCUGGAUGCACAGAGGAUCUGAGCACCAUUGUCAGUGAUGUCUUCACGGCAAACUCUCUAAAGAAGAUGGGCCUAAUCAAGAAGAAGAUUGCUCCUGCCCAUGAAGACACAUCUUCUGAGAUCAGAAGUAGAAGGAUGCCUCUGAAUGACUACCCUCUGUGGACUCAGGCAGACAAUCCUGACGCCAUUAGGUGCUAUGUUGAAGACCUAAGGGCUCAAGGAUUCGAAAUUGAUCUCGAUGACUUCUUCAGCAGACUGCCGCCAGCUCCAGAGUUUCCUUCUCCUCCCAAGAAGAAAGCUCAGAGGAAGAUGAUCCUAGAAGAAUCUUCUGAGGAAUCAGAUGUCCCUCUGAUCAAAAAGAAGAAGGCUGGUCAAUCCAAGAGAAAGCAGGAUGACACCAGCAAGCCUGAUGAUGGUGAUGAUGGUGAUAAUGAGGAUGGUCCUCCUAAGAAGAAGAAGAAGCAGGUCAGAAUCGUGGUGAAGCCUACUCGGGUGGAACCAGCUGCUGAAGUGGUCAGAAGGACUGAACCUCCUGCCAGAGUGACAAGAUCAUCAGCACAUUCAAGUAAGUCUGCAAUUGCUUCUGAUGAUGAUUUGAAUUUAUUUGAUGCACUCCCCAUAUCUGCCAUGCUCAAACACUCUUCAAAUCCCCUCACUCCUAUUCCUGAAUCCCAACCAGCUGCACAAACCACCUCUUCACCACAUUCCCCAAGGUCUUCGUUCUUUCAACCUUCCCCUACUGAAGCACCUCUCUGGACUUUGCUCCAGAACCAACCCUCUAGGUCAGAAGAACCUACCUCUCCCAUUACCAUUCAGUACAACCCAUUAGCUUCUGAACCCAUCAUUCAUGAACAACCAGAGCCUACCCACACAGAACCUGGACCCAGAACCUCUGAUCACUCUGUUCCAAGAGCAUCAGAACGACUGGCUCCCAGACCUACGGAUACAGACUCUUCCACAGCCUUUACCCCUGUAUCCUUCCCAACCAAUGUUGCUGACUCUUCUCCCUCCAAUAACUCUGAAUCCAUUAGAAAAUUCAUGGAGGUCAGAAAAGAAAAGGUGUCUACUCUAGAAGAGUAUUAUCUCACUUGUCCAAGCCCUAGGAGAUAUCCUGGCCCUAGACCUGAACGUCUAGUUGACCCAGAUGAACCUAUCUUGGCCAAUCCUUUACAAGAGGCAGACCCUUUGGCUCAACAAGCUCACCCUGCCCCUGACCAACAAGAGCCUAUUCAACCAGAACCUGAACCAGAACAAUCUGUGUCUAACCAAUCCUCGGUUAGAUCACCUCAUCCUCUGGUUGAAACUUCAGAACCUCACCUUGGAACCUCUGAACCCAAUACUCAAAUGCUUAACAUUGGUUCUCCACAAGGUGCCUCUGAAGCUCACAGCAGCAAUCACCCAGCCUCUCCUGAAACCAACCUCUCCAUAAUUCCUUAUACUCACCUCCGACCCACAUCUCUCUCUGCGUGCAUCAAUAUUUUCUAUCAUGAAGCCUCUUUGAGGCUACGCAAUGUGCACGGUCAGACUGACCUAAGUGAGAAUGCUGAACGUGUGGCUGAUGAGUGGAACACUCUGGGCACUUGGCUGGUGGCUCAAGUUCCAAUUAUGAUGCAGCUCCUGCAUGCAGAGGGAAGUCAGAGGAUUGAGGCUGCAAAGCAAAGGUUUGCUCGAAGGGUGGCUCUUCAUGAACAAGAACAGAGACAUAAGCUUCUUGAAGCUAUUGAAGAAGCCAAGAGAAAGAAAGCUCAAGCAGAAGAAGCUGCACGUCAAGCAGCAGCUCAAGCUGAACAAGCCAGAUUAGAGGCAGAACGACUUGAAGCUGAGGCUGAAGCUCUUAGAUGCCAAGCACUUGCACCAGUAGUGUUUACUCCUGCUGCUUCUGCUUCCAUUCCAGAUCCUCAAGCUGCUCAGAAUGUUCCUUCCGGUUCUACUCAGUCAAGCUCGUCCAGACUCGACAUCAUGGAACAGCGUCUUGACACUCAUGAAUCCAUGCUAAUUGAAAUGAAGCACAUGAUGAUGGAACUUCUGCGUCGAACUGAUAAACCUUAGUUUUAGGAUCUCUUCGUUUUUCUUUUUCUUUAACGUUGUUUUAUUUUUGUUAACUUCUGUUUCUUUUUAUUUAAUUAUUCUACUUUAUUCGUUUGUGAUUAUCUAUGCAUAUCUAUAUAUAUUUGUGUCACAUAUGUUUGCAAAAAAAUCUUUUUAUUCAUAAUAUCUUUAUGUUUACAUCAUACAUUCUUUCCCUAAAAGUCUAGAAUGGAGGAUCCCUCCUCAUUCUUCUGCACUCCUGGCGCUGCUCUGACCUAUCCUUCUCCAGACGCUCCAGUGCAUGCUGGAUGUUGUUGAGCCUGUCCUUUAGCUCAUCCCUCUCCAGAAUCUCUUCUGCGGUCUUGAGCUUCUCUUCCAAACUCUCUUUUUCUUCCAGCAGCUUGAGUUCAAGCCGGCUGAGUUCUUGCACCUCCUCCACGAAGGCAAGAAAUUCCCUCAGGUCUCUCUUCAACUCUGGACGCAGGUCCUCCUCCAGCAGUGUCCGUGUCAGCUCCGCGAUGGUCGUUGUACCCUCUGGAUGCCUGAUGUUAAGGAACAAGUCCUCCUCGAAGGCCUUCUUCCUCAGCUCUUCUAGUGCUACGAUGUAUGAUGCCAUUUUUUUUCCUUACUGAAAAUUGUUCGAGGUGUGAAGCUUACCUCUCUCUCCAACGCUUUAUAUAGGCUUCACUUUCUCUCUGAAAGUUAAUGCUCCUACAGUUUCUCGAGGUUAAGUUCUUGGUAACUGACCCUUCUCUUUACUCCCUUGACCGGUGGUAAACGUUCUUCUCUUGCAUUAACUCUUCUAUUUAUUUCGCCUAACUCUGAUUCUUGCAUCGUUUUCAUUUUCUUUAAACUUAGACCUUCUCUAAGGGGGAGUACCUUGUGCUACAAGCUAAGUUUUUCACACCCCAAGCUUUUUGCUUAUGACAAAAAGGGGGAGUAAACCCAGUUUUUGAUGUGUAAGAUGUGUUAGUGUGAUUUAUUUUUUCUUUUGGAGAAUUUAAGAGUUCCACCUUCAUGACCAUAGAUGUGUCACUGGGCAAAUACAAGGAAUACAUUUCACUUCUUCUGAAGUGAUUCUAAGUUGACUCUGAUACCCAAGACUCUGAUACCUUGUCCGUGACUCUGAUUACUUAUGCGCUCUGAUUACUCGAUUUUCAUCUAUGUCAUAAGUUUUUCACUCUGAACUCUUAUAUCAUUUAGCUCAGAAUCUAGACUUUACUAACGUUUUCAUCAAGUAUUAGAUUAGGGGGAGCUAAGCUCAGAAUCAAGCAGUGACUUGAAUUCAGAAUGAGCAAGAUAAACUAUUCACAUCAGGAUAAGUCUUAUUCUAUAUCUCUAAACUCUGAGUGAAUUCAGUUUAAUGUUUAAGAAUUGUUCAUCAAAAAUCUUAGUUUUGUCAUCAUCAAAAAGGGGGAGAUUGUAAGAUCAAGUUUUGAUCUAGUAGUACAACUCUAUGUUUUGAUGAUUACAAGUUAACCUUUUGAUAUGAACAAUUGUGGUACUCUAACGUGUUUUUCUGAGUGUGCUAUUUACAGGCUCUGACCUCAACUCAAUCUCACACAAAUCAGAAGCACUGUGUAUAAAGAGCAACCCAAGCAACGCUUUCGUAUUCACCAUGUUCAGAAUGAACAGUGGAAAAGCUUCAGAAGUUCUGAAGCUACACAAACUCUGAUGUGGACUCAGUCACUAGAAGCUCUGAAGAUCCAGAAGUUCUAACAACCAAGAAACACUGAAGGCUCAGAUGUUCUGAUGGUGUAGAAGACUCUGAAGAUCCAGAAGCUGAAUAGUGGAAACUCUGAUGUCCAGAAGCAAGAAACUCUGAAGACCAUGUACUUCCCUCUGAGUUCAGAAUCAGAAGAUACAACGGUCAGAGGAUCUGUGCUUUCCCUCUGACUCUGAUCAACCGGCUUCACAAGUUCCAAUAUGAAGCAUCCCCUGAUCAGAAGUCUCCUAGGUUUAAAGGUCAAGUCGCUAUCCAAGUACAAAAGCAACUGUACCUUCCUGACGACCUACCUAACAGUCUCAAACACAGCAGAAGCUGGAUUUUCCAGAACUGCCCUCCAACGGUAGCAUUUCCCAUGCAACGCUCAACCCUAAUCCUUGGAGUAUAUAAAGAGGCUAAAGACUGAAAGAAACGGCUAGAAGCAUUCACAUACGCGCAAGACAAACUUAAAUUCUUCUAAGCUUUCUUUCAUCUGAAAUUCAUUGAGUUUACUAUUAGCUUUUUAGAAGCAAAUCUCUUGUAAACAAUUCUUUGAUAAACAGUUUGUUUAGUUCCUUUAGGAGAUCAAGGUUGAUCGGAUCCUAGAGAAGACUAAGAGAGUGAAUCUUAGUGUGAGCUAAGUCAGUGUAAUUGUUAGUCACUUGUAGGUUUCAAGUGCAGUUGUAACUCUUACCUGAUUAGUGGAUUGCCUUCAUUCUAAGAAGGAAGAAAUCACCUUAACGGGUGGACUGGAGUAGCUUGAGUGAUUUAUCAAGUGAACCAGGAUAAAAUCCUUGUGUGCUUUUCUAUCUCUUAUCUUUAGCACUUAAGUUCUCGAAAGAUUUGUCAAAAUCUUUAAGGUGGAAGUUUUAUACUGAAAAAGUUAUUCAAACCCCCCCUUUCUACCGUUUUUCAUACCUUCAGAAUGCGGGGGCGACGUAUCAGCGAUUGAUGGAUAGGGUAUUUGAGGGCCAAGUAGGAAGGAACAUGGAGGUCUACGUUGAUGAUAUGAUCGUAAAUUCAGUUUUGGGAUCAAGCCAUCACGAGGAUUUAACAGAAGCUUUCGACAGGCUCCAAAAGCAUAACAUGAGACUCAAUCCGGAGAAGUGUUCUUUUGGUAUACCGGGCGGGAAGUUCUUAGGCUUCAUGAUCACGUCGAAAGGAAUCGAGAUCAUUCCAGAUAAGUGCAAGGCGAUCCAGGAAAUGAAAAGCCCAAGUAGUGUGAAGGAGGUGCAGCGCCUGACGGGGCGGAUUGCGGCCCUAUCCAGGUUUUUCCCCCAUUCGGGCGACAAAUCAACCCCGUUCUUCAAAUGCCUCAAGAAGAACACGGUGUUUGAAUGGAGUUCAGAAUGCGAAGAAGCCUUUAACUGCCUGAAAGAGAUGUUGUCCGCACCACCCGUUCUAUCGAAACCUGUCCAGGGUCUUCCUUUGCACUUGUAUUUUUCUGUCAGUGAUCGUGCGAUCAGCUCGGUAAUCCUCCAGGAGGUAUACGGAGAACAAAAAAUAGUUUACUUUGUAAGCCAUACACUUCAAGGGGCGGAGGCGGCGCUCGCCGUCCUCGUUACCGCCAGACGCUUAAGACCUUACUUUCAAAGCUUUCAGGUAAAAAUAAAGACUGAUCUUCCUUUGAGACAGGUGUUGCAGAAGCCAGAUUUGUCAGGAAGACUUGUCGCAUGGUCAAUUGAGUUAUCAGAAUACGGUUUGCAAUACGACAAAAGGGGGAAGGUCGGUGCGCAGACUUUAGCUGAUUUUGUGGUUGAGUUAACGCUAGAAGACGGUGAGAAGGUGAGCACGCAAUGGACGUUGUUUGUUGAUGGGUCAUCGAACGACAAUGGAAGUGGAGCAGGGGUCACGCUACAAGGGCCUGGGGAGUUAGUAUUAGAGCAGUCCCUCAGAUUUCAAUUUAAAGCCAGUAAUAAUCAGGCAGAGUAUGAGGCUCUGAUCGCAGGUUUGAAGUUGGCAAUUGAGGUGCAAAUCGAAAGUUUGCUGGUUAGAACGGACUCGCUGCUUGUGGCAAACCAAGUAAAUGGGGAAUUUCAGGUGAAGGAACCGGCCUUGAUAAAAUAUCUGGAGCGUGUGCGGCUGCUGAUGGGUCGAUUGCAAGAGAUUGUAGUUGAAUUCGUGCCAAGGGCGCAGAAUCAAAGGGCGGACGCCCUAGCAAAAUUGGCAAGCACUCGGAAACCUGGAAACAAUCGAAGUGUGAUCCAAGAGACGCUCGCCAAUCCUAGCAUAGAAGGAGAGUUGGUAGCCUCAGUUGACCGCCAAAAAACUUGGAUGGACCCCAUCGUAGGUAUCUUGGCGGGAGAGCCAAGUGAGGUGGUGAAGUACUCAAAGGAAUAAAGAAGGGAGGCGGGACACUACACGUUACUCGACGGUGUAAUCUAUCGACGAGGAUUUAGCUCGCCCUUCCUGAGAUGUCUACCGCCUGGGAAAUACGAUGAUGUUAUGGCAGAGGUUCACGGGGGGGGGGGGGGGGGGGUUUGCGCUAGCCACAUCGGAGCAAGGUCGUUGGCAAGCAAAGUCCUCAGAGCGGGUUUUUACUGGCCCACGAUAAGAUAAGACUGUGCGGAAUUCAUGAAGAAAUGCGAAAAGUGUCAAGUAUUUGCAGACUUUCCCAGAGCCCCGCCGGAGCAAUUGGCCACGAUCAGCUCCCCAUGGCCCUUCGCCAUGUGGGGAGUUGACCUCGUCGGGCCUUUUCCCACUGCCAGGUCACAAAUGAAGUUCAUCCUCGUGGCGGUGGACUACUUCACCAAAUGGGUGGAGGCCUGAUGACCCUACUUUAGUAGUGUUUUUAAGGUCAUUUCUUUGUGUGUUCUGAGUCUUUUUGUUGAGUCUCAUGUAGUGUUUCAUGCAUUCUCAUGCAUUUUUAUCUUUUCUUUAGUCUUUAUUUUGCUUUGGUAAUUUAGUAGUUUUAUAGGGAGUUUUCUUGCAUUUUGAGUAGAGUUUAGGGCUUGCAUGGUUUUCUUGAAGGAUCUCUUGUGCUAAUAAGCUCUUUGAGCUUCUAGAAUUUUCCUUGGCUUGUUGUUUAAGUUUCAGAUCAGGAACUGAAGAAGGAAGAAGGCCAAUAAGCAUGGAAUUGAUGGAAAACUUAAAGGGGAUUGAAAAGAGGAGUUUCAGUAGCCAAAAAGCCCUUUUCAGGCGAGCUUAAGCGCCUAGGCGCUGGGGGAUGGGCGCCUAGGCGUCAAUUGGGUCCAGAGAGCAUGUUUUUGCAUGCAAUUGGCACUCAGGCGCUCUGAAUUGGCGCCUGAGCGCCCAGACUCGACCCGUUUGCCUAUAAAUAGGCUUUUUGUCAUUCCUUUUGUACCUUUUGUCAUUUUUAUCAUUUUUCUCAUAAGUUAGAAGAGAGAGCUUGAGUUCUGAAGCUUUGGGAGCUUUCCCUAGGUCUUAUGUUCCAGGUUUUAUCUUAAUUUUCUAGCAUGGAUUCCAUAGCCAUGCUUGGCUAAAACCCCUUUUGCUUUGGGUUCUUUGUAAGACUUUGAAUGUUUUAGCUUUCAAUCCUUUUCUAUUCAUGAAGUUCUGAGUAAACCCUUGAAUCUCACUUCUAUGCUUUUUCUUCCAAGCUUGAAUGCAUGCUAGCUUUAUGCUUUUCUAUAAUCAUAACGAUAGUUUGUUAUAGAAUUGGGACUUGUUGUGAGAUUACUCCUUCUAUACUUGCUGCUAGGAAUAGAGGAAGGGUUGGGGUUUGUUGGCCUGAUUUGUAUGCUUAGUGCUUCUAGCAAUUGUUUAGGUUAUCAAGGAAUUGAAUCUAUCUUUUGAUUAGGAAGGGUUUUCUUUGCGAGGCAUCGAAAGAUAACUAACUAGGCUAGAACAUCAAGGAGAGACUCAGGAUUAAUUGAAUAGGAGGGUUUGCUAAAACUGAAUUAGUUGAACAAGAACCCAAGGCAAUCUCAUCUCUGUUUUCAAUUCCUUUAUUACUUGGCUACUUGUCUUUUUACAAACUCAAGAAUCAACCAAUCAUUAAAACUGAAUUUUACUUGCUUUUCAACCUUGAACUUGAAUCUUAAACUGAAUUCACAUUCCAAUUCCCUGUGGUUCGAUAAAUUAAAACCCGGAGAUAUCUGUGCACUUUCAGAUUGACCAACAAGUUUUUGGCGCCGUUGCCGGGGAGUUGUUUUGCGAUUUUUUGGUUUAAGUUUUAAGUUUUCACUUGUCUAGAAUUGGUGCUACUAAUCUUUCUCUGUUGAGUGUCUUUCGUAGGUUGCUUUCAAGAGAGGCACCACCAUGGGUGGCCGCAUGACAGAGGAGGAGAUGCAAGCCCACAUUGAGGCAAGGAUCCAAGAGGGUAUCACCCUCCGCUUACGUGAACAAGAAGUUGAGAAUGCCAACCGAACUCUUCGGGAACUAACUUCGGGGUCCAUGAGCUUUGACUAUCCCGGAAGUAUUGUUAUUCCCGAAGGAGUGGGGAACUUUGAAUUAAGACCGGCAUUCAUCAACAUGGUGAGCCAAAGCCAAUAUGGUGGAGGUUCCUCGGAAGAUCCUCAUGCUCAUAUGGAGAAGUUCAUCCGGAAUUGCAACACUUAUCGGGUGGUGAAUGUUUCUACAGAAGCAAUCCGGUUGAGCCUAUUUCCCUUCUCUUUGAAGGACGCAGCAGAGGAUUGGCUGAACUCACAACCUCAAGGAAGUCUCAUUACUUGGGAAGACCUUGCAGAAAAAUUCACAACGAGGUUCUUCCCAAGGUCCCUCUUGAGGAAAUUGAAAAAUGACAUCAUGACGUUCACACAAUCCUCAGAUGAAAAUCUUUACGAGGCUUGGGAGCAUUUCAAGAAGCUUUUGAGGAAAUGUCCUCAACACAAUCUCACCCAAGCCGAAUGUGUGGCGAAGUUCUAUGAUGGGUUACUAUAUUCAUCACGGUUUUGUUUGGAUGCGGCUUCAAGUGGGGAGUUCGAUGCUCUUCCCCCACAAGCGGGGUAUGAUUUGAUAGAGAAAAUGGCGAUGAGAGCCAUGAACUCCGAGAAUGAACGCCAAAUCCGAAGAAGCUCUUUUGAAGUGGAAUCUUAUGAUAAGCUCAUAGCCUCCAACAAGCAACUCUCCGAGGAAGUAGCGGAAAUGCAGAAACAUAUUCGGGAUGCCAAGUCAAUUGGAGCGAGAGUAACUAGUUUGGAGUGCAAAUUUUGUGGUGAAUCUCAUGAUAGUAACCAGUGUACUGUUAAUGAUGAUGUUGGCAAGGUCAGAACAUUGACUCAAGGAGGAAAAGCUCCAACCUCAGAACAAGGGCCUCUUGUCCAGCCGCAAAUUGUUGUAAAGACGGUUGGCAAGAGGAGUCUUGAGGAGCUGAUUGAGGGAUUCAUUGAUCAUACAUCGAGCAUUUACAAGAGCCAUGAUAUGGCUAUCAAGAGCUUGGAGAGUCAAUUGGGACAGCUAGCAAAGCAAAUGUCCGAGAAUCACCAAGGUAAGUUUUCUUCCGAAACUUUAACUUUGACUGAGCAAGAAAAUACUGCUGCUGUUUCCACUAGGAGUGGAAGAGUUUUACAUGAGCCAGAGGAAAAAAUUGAGGGAGAGAAAAGUGAGGAAGCUGAGGUAGAAAGAGAUAAGGGUGUUACGGAGGAAAGAGCUAGAGAGCCUACUAGGACUAGAGUUGUUAACACCCAUACUCCUGAACUCCGCAAGAUUCCAUUUCCCAAGGCUUUGGUGAAGAAAAAUUUGGAUAAACAAUUUUCUAAGUUCUUGGAAGUUUUUAAGAAACUCCAUAUUAAUAUUCCUUUCUCCGAAGCCUUGGAGCAAAUGCCAAUCUAUGCUAAGUUCAUGAAAGAUAUCCUCAGUAAGAGAAGGAAGUUGAGUGAGGUCGAUGAAACUAUCUUGAUGACCGAAGAGUGUAGUGCCAUUUUGCAAAGGAAGAUGCCUAAAAAGAGGAGAGAUCCCGGGAGUUUUACUAAUCCGGUGGAGAUAGAGGGGUUAACUGUGGUAGAAGCCUUGUGUGAUUUAGGAGCGAGUAUCAACUUGAUGCCGCUUAGUAUGUUUAAAAGGUUGAACUUAGGUGAGGUUACCCCAACUAUGAUUUCUUUGCAAAUGGCGGAUAGGUCCUUAAAAACCCCUUACGGGAUCAUUGAAGAUGUUGUGGUUAAGGUGGAUAAGUUUGUCUUCCCAGUGGAUUUUGUCAUUUUAGACAUGGAAGAGGACUCUAAAGUUCCUCUCAUAUUGGGGAGACCAUUCUUAGCCACUGGUGAGGCUGAGAUUAAAGUGGCUAAGGGAACUCUAACUUUGAAAGUAGGUGUAGAUGAGGUCCUCUUCAAUAUUUUUGACUCUUUAAAACACCGAGCGGAUGAGGAAGUUUUCCGAUGUGAAGUAGUGGAUGAGCUCGUGUGUGAAGAGUUUGUUAGGAUAUCUAUUAAGGACCCCUUGGAAACAACAAUCAUGGAGGGGUUAGAGAUAGAGGACCAAAAUCUUGAGAGGGAACUUGAUUCUUUGUAUCAUGAGGUGAAUGCUACUCUAUCUCAAUUAGAAUCUGUCUCAUACCUUGCCCACUAAAAGCAUUUGGAAAGAAGAGUUAACUAGGGAUGAGGAGAUUCCAAUUGAAGAGAAGAGUGAGCUCAAGCCACUCCCUUCCUCUCUCAAGUAUGCUUAUCUUGAGGAAGGUGGGAAUAAACCUGUUAUUUUGAAUAGUGCUCUCACUCCCUUGGAAUAGGAGAAACUCCUCAGAGUUUUGAGGGAUCACAAGUCAGCUUUGGGUUGGACUAUUGAUGAUAUCAAAGGCAUUAGCCCUGCGAUAUGCAUGCAUAAAAUUUUGUUGGAAGAAAAUUACAAACCUAUAGUCCAACCUCAAAGAAGACUUAACCCUUCCAUGAAGGAUGUGGUGAGGAAAGAGAUAAUCAAAUUGCUUGAUGCAGGUGUGAUUUAUCCCAUUUCGGAUAGUGAAUUGGUAAGUCCCGUUCAAGUGGUUCCCAAGAAAGGAGGCAUCACUGUGGUUGCCAAUGAGAACAAUGAGUUGAUUCCCACUCGUCAAGUGACGAAGUGGAGGGUUUGUAUUGACUAUCGAAGGCUGAAUUCGGUAACUAGAAAGGAUCACUUUCCUUUGCCCUUCAUAGAUCAAAUGCUGGAUAAGUUGGCUGGGCAUCAAUACUACUGUUUUCUUGAUGGCUAUUCCGGGUACAACCAAAUUUGUGUUGCACCGGAGGACCAAGAGAAGACGGCAUUCACUUGCCCUUACAGCGUGUUUGCUUAUAAGAGAAUGCCAUUUGGGUUUUGCAAUGCCCCAGCUACUUUCCAAAGGUGUAUGUUUGCUAUUUUCUCUGACUUGAUAGAGACUUGCAUCGAGAUUUUUAUGGACGACUUCUCUGUUUUAUGUCCGAAUUUUGAUGCUUGUCUAGGGAAUUUAGCCUUGGUUCUGAAAAGAUGUCAAGAGACCAACUUGGUCUUGAAUUGGGAGAAAUGCCAUUUCAUGGUUAGGGAUGGCAUAGUUCUCGGACACAAGGUGUCCGAAAAGGGGAUUGAGGUUGAUAGAGCUAAGAUUGAAGUCAUUGAAAAGCUCCCUCCCCCGACUAACAUCAAGGGUAUUAGGAGUUUCCUCGGGCAUGCUGGAUUUUAUAGGAGGUUUAUUAAAGACUUUUCCAAAUUAGCUAAGCCUAUGACCAACUUGCUUGAGAAGGAAGCACCUUUUACUUUUGAUGAGAAUUGUUUGAAAGCUUUUGAGUCUAUUAAAGAGAGUUUGGUGACAGCCCCGGUAAUUGUUGCUCCGGAUUGGUCUUUACCAUUUGAAAUCAUGUGUGAUGCUAGUGAUCUAGCUUUAGGGGCUGUCUUGUGUCAAAAGAAAGAAAGAGUGUUGUAUGUGAUAUACUAUGCAAGUAGAGUGUUAAAUGAGGCCCAAAGGAACUACACUACAACUGAAAAAGAGUUGUUGGGUGUAGUCUUUGCUUGUGAAAAGUUUAGGCCUUACAUCUUGGGUUUUAAAGUAAUUGUCCAUACUGAUCAUGCUGCUUUGAGGCAUUUGUUUGCUAAACAGGACUCUAAGCCAAGGUUGAUUCGAUGGGUCUUACUCCUUCAAGAGUUUGACCUUGAGAUCGUUGACCGGAGAGGCAAGGACAAUGGCGUGGCAGACCAUUUGUCAAGAUUGGAAGGUGGGGCGUGCAGCCCAAUACCUAUUCAAGAGGAGUUCCCGGAUGAGAAACUCCUAGCUGUUUCCACCGAGGAACCCUUACCCUGGUAUGUGCACUUUGCUAAUUUCCGUGUUGCUGGUCUUAUUCCCCAUGACUUGACAUGACAGCAAAAGAAAAAAUUUCUUCAUGAUGCAAAAUCUUACCUCUGGGAUGACCCUUUCCUUUUCAAAGUUUGUUCUGAUGGAGUCAUUAGAAGGUGUGUCCCAGAGGUUGAUUUUGAGAAAAUUCUUUGGCAUUGCCAUGGAUCAAGUUAUGGUGGACAUUUUAGUGGGGAGAGGACCGCUGCUAAGGUUCUCUAAAGUGGUUUCUAUUGGCCUACACUGCAUAGGGAUAGUAGAGCUUUUGUUGAGAGUUGUGAUAGAUGUCAACGAGCUGGUAACAUCUCAAGGAGAAAUGAGAUGACCCUCAAGAAUAUUUUGGAAAUUGAGUUGUUUGAUGUUUGGGGCAUCGAUUUCAUGGGACCUUUCCCACCUUCUUUUGGUUGCCAGUAUAUUUUAGUGGCUGUGGAUUAUGUUUCCAAGUGGGUUGAAGCCGCUGCACUCUCAACAAAUGACUCUAAGGUGGUGGUUGCUUUUCUAAAAAAGAAUAUCUUUACUAGGUUUGGUGUUCCUAGGGCAAUUAUAAGUGAUGGGGGUACCCACUUUUGCAACAGAGCUUUCGAGUCUCUCUUGGAAAAAUAUGGUGUUAAGCACAAAGUGUCUACCCCCUAUCACCCCCAAACUAGUGGGCAAGUUGAGAUUUCUAAUCGGGAGUUAAAACGUAUUCUUGAAAAGGUGGUAGAUUCUUCCAGAAAGGAUUGGUCAAGGAAACUUGACGAUGCUUUAUGGGCCUACCGAACCGCUUUUAAAACUCCGAUUGAUACCUCUCCUUUCCAUUUAGUUUUUGGGAAAGCGUGUCACUUACCUGUGGAGUUAGAACACAAGGCCAAUUGGGCCAUAAGGAAAUUGAAUUUUGAUUGGAAAGUUGCUAGCGAGAAGAGACUCUUGCAAUUGAAUGACCUUGAUGAGUUCCGACUCCGAGCUUACGAGAGUGCUAGCAUCUAUAAGGAAAAGACAAAGAAGUGGCACGAUAGGAAAAUUUUGAAUAGGGAAUUUGUCUCAGAGCAAUUGGUGCUGCUCUUCAAUUCUAGAUUGAGACUCUUCCCUGGGAAACUUAAGUCUAAAUGGUCUGGACCCUUUGUGGUCAAGAGGGUGUUUCCUCAUGGUGCUGUUGAGGUUGAGAACCCAGAGACCAAGAACACUUUCACCGUGAAUGGACAGAGGUUGAAAGUGUACCAUGGUGGUGAGGUGCUGAAGUUGGAAACCAUGUUUUUCAAACCUCCUUGACAAGGGGGAUAGUCUACCUAAGACUAUAACAAUGGGCUGCUUGGGAGACAACCCAAGUUUUGUUAUUUUGCUUGUUUGUUUGUUGCAUUUUGCAGGGAUUGGGAGCCUAAAUUCUAGAGUAGGAGGUGACUCUAAGGCCUCCAUGGUAAUUGGUAAAGAAGGUCAACUCUUUCCCUUAGUUUAGCUCAUGCAUCUUUGCAUAUCUUCCUUUUGUAGCUGUUAUUUUUCUUUUAAUCAUGCAUUGUUUUGUUAGAGUCGUUUUUUGGUCUUUUUCUCCCUAUACUCACAUGUUUUUGCCCGUAGUUAUGCUCUCUAACCUGUUGCUAGUUUUGAAAUUGUUUUUGGUGAAUACUUGUGCUGUCUUUUGGGGAUGAGAGAUUGCAUGCUUGGGGAAGAGAGGAGGAGACUUCGGUCUUCCGAGUGUUUCUUGAGAAAGGAGUCGAGGUGAGUCCAUUCAGGGUCUAUCUGUGACCCUUCACCAUAAAAUUUCCCUGGAGGAUCCUGACUCACUCGCACUUCUUGGCUCUGCAUUAAUUUCACUCAUAGCAUGCUUAGUGAUUCUUGCUUUAUUCUUGAGACUUGUAGGAUUUCUUGAGAUUCUGAAUUUGUUGUUUGAACAUUGUCCUUAGUUGUCCCAUUUGAGCCUUAUUGGAGAAUUUGUUGUAGCCAAGUGAUUGGGGUGGAUGUUUGGUUGGAAUAUUGGGGAGUGAUGGUCCUUGAUUAUAUUUGUAUGGAGCUGAAAAAUUGUGAAAUAGUCUCUUGCCCCAAGGAAAAAGAAUAAAUCAGUAAGAAAAAAAAGAAAGAAAAAGAACUCCUAACCAAAAGUUGGAGUUGGAAAAAAGGAAAAAGUUUGAAAAGGUGGGAGCAAGAGACUUGUAAAAAAGGUGUGUUGUAAGCUCCGGGGUUAUUAGGAGAGGACCACACUCAAUGUGCUUGAAAGCCUAGUUUUCCCUUAGGGACCAACCACCAUCAUGUUUUACCUAGCCAAUGUGUCAACCCUUUUUGAAGUCUCUUUGAAUAUUUGCAUGAUUGAUCUUUGUUGCUAUUGAGUGAAUGACAUUCAGGACCUAUGAACUUGUUUGUGUGCUCAGUACACUAAAUGAACAUCUCAUCCUAGGAUUUUUAGAUCUAUAUGUUUCUCAUGAAUGGACUCUACACUCUUCUCUUUUCAAAAGAUGCAUGAAGUAGGUUGUUGGGUCUUUCUCUUGGAACUAGCUGUGAUUACUUUGUCCCCUUGUUUUUGUGAAGUAUUCCUUGUUGAGAGCACUUGUUUGGGAGCAUUUCUUGCGCUUGAGGGCAAGCGAGUGUUAUUUACGCUCGAUGACGAGCUGUCGUUGAGUAUAGUGGUGUGAUGACCCUAUUUUAGUAGUGUUUUUAAGGUCAUUUCUUUGUGUGUUCUGGGUCUUUUUGUUGAGUCUCAUGUAGUGUUUCAUGCAUUCUCAUGCAUUUUUAUCUUUUCUUUAGUCUUUAUUUUGCUUUGGUAAUUUAGUAGUUUUAUAGGGAGUUUUUUUGCAUUUUGAGCAGAGUUUAAGGCUUGCAUGGUUUUAUUGUGUUAAUUGAAGGAUCUCUUGUGCUAAUAAGCUCUUUGAGCUUCUAGAAUUUUCCUUGGCUUGUUGGUUAAGUUUCAGAUCAGGAACUGAAGAAGGAAGAAGGCCAAUAAGCAUGGAAUUGAUGGA